rnacentral:lncRNA from 1 species
AUGGUAUGAUUUUUUAAUUCUUUUUUCUUUUUUAACAUUUUUAAUGAAUUUUAAUUUUUAACAGGUUUUUAUGUGAAUUAAAUAUAUAUUUUUUAUUUUAGUUUAUAAAUGAAAUCAUAAUAAUCACUAAAAUCAUACACAAAUUAGAAUGAGGUUCUUAACGUUCAAUAUCGAUAUUUUUAUCUCUUGAAUUAAGAUUGUAGGUACAAUAAUAUUUUAUAUAUCUCAUAAAUAAAACAAAAUUUUAUUUUGAGUAGAAAAUAUAUUAAAAUAAAAGUAGAACAGAUUAGAUUGUGGAAGGAGUGGACAUUACAGACUAGCUAAGAUUUCGUAGGGACUACACAUGUGAAUAUGUUGGACAAAAGAAAAGAUUUUCUCUUUCAAUUCAUAGAUUUUCUUAAGAAAAAGAUUUUUUUUUUUAAAUUUUAAUUUGCUUAUUAUAUUAUAUAUUUUGAUAACAUGCAAAUAUGAAAAAUUGAGUUAAUGUUUUUAAUCAUAAAUAUUUUUUUUAGGAUAUGCUUGUAGCUGCAACAGAUACCUCAUCAGCCACAUUAAUUUGGUUUAUGCUUGCGCUAAUAAAAAACCCAAGAGUAAUGAAAAAGGUACAAGAAGAAAUUAGGAGUGUGGGAAUUUUUUUUAGGAUAUGCUUGUAGCUGCAACAGAUACCUCAUCAGCCACAUUAAUUUGGUUUAUGCUUGCGCUAAUAAAAAACCCAAGAGUAAUGAAAAAGGUACAAGAAGAAAUUAGGAGUGUGGGAAGAAAAAAAGAUUUUAUUAAUGAAGAUGAUAUUAAAAAUUUUCCUUAUUUAAAAGCAGCGAUUAAAGAAACAUUAAGAAUGAAUCUACCAUCUCCAUUGCUUGUGCAAAGAGAAGCACGUGAAAAGUGUACUUUAAGUGGAUACGAAAUUCCAGCCAAGACAAUAUUGUAUGUGAAUGCUUGGGCUAUUCAGAGAGACCCUAAUUUUUGGAAAAAUCCUGACGAAUUUUAUCCCGAGAGAUUCCUAGAAAGUUCUUUAGAAAGUUCUAUAAAUUUUACUGGACAAGAUUUUGAACUAAUACCUUUUGGAGCUGGUCGUAGAAUUUGUCCUGGUAUAACCAUGGGAGUUGCUUUCUUGGAACUUGUUCUUGCUAAUCUUCUCUAUUCAUUUGAUUGGGGAUUGCCAGAUGGGUUAAAAAAGGAAGAUAUUGAUUAUGAAAUGUUGCCAGGGAUCACUCAACACAAGAAGAAUCCUCUUUGUCUUGUUGCUAAAAUUCCUAUGUAAUGCAUCUCUUUAGAGUAACUUUGUUUGUUUAUCGUUUAAUAUGUUAUGUUUAUUGGGUUUUUUGUAUUGUGUUUUGUUGGUUUAUCGUUUAAUAGGUUAUGUUUAUUGGGAUUUUUGUAUUGUGUUAUCUUUAAAUUUUUAAAUAAAAGCAUUAUUUAGUUUUUAUGCUUCAACCAAUUUAUGUUUUAGAGCAUUAUUGCACUAUAUCUAUAAGCAUAUGAUUUUACCAAUUUGUAUAAAAGUAGGUGUGGCAAUGAAGUCGCUUGCUGUCCAUUUUUAUCAUGUUCAUGACAUAAGUUAGUUUUUCCGUCAACUGAUCCAUGUCCCAAAGAGAUAUCAAUUUUCCUUUCUUACAUCGGUCUCUACCACAUAUAUAUCUUACAUCUGUCUCUACCAUAUAUAAGUAGGUAACUUUUCCUAAUGUUAGAUUACUCCCUUGGUAGCAAGAUGAGACAACUCAUCAAUGAUGAGUUUCAACAUGAGAGAUAUACUCAAUCCAGAGAAUGGUUUUUUAAAAAAAAUUCAAAACCCGAAUUAGCUCAAUUUAAAGAUGAGUACUACACUCAAAUGAACCUUGGGCAAGAUUUAAUUCCUUUUGUGAAAUGGUUUGUUAACUAUUUCAUAAGUAAAAAAAAGAAGAAAUCCUUGUUUUACAAAGACCUUGAGAAAAUGUUAGAGGAGAGAAAAUGGAAGCUCGUUUUUCCCCCCUGAACAAACGAUAAGUUUGAGUCAAAAUACUGAAGCUACCCCUUAACUUAACCUUUAGUUACAAAGAGUUGAACAAAAUCAAGUUACUCUUAAGGAAUUAAAUUCCGUCAUCAGGUCUCAGAAUUAUACCAAUGCUUAUCUUGUUUGCUUAGGAGAACAAAUUAUCUCUAUGGAAAAAGAUCUAUUAUCCAUAAAAAAUCUUUUAGAAAAACAAAUAGCACGUCAAGAUAUCAUUAUUGACAUCAUAAAUAAACCUAAGGACCAGAUGUCCACAUCCACUAUUUCGGAUGUUCCUAUAGUUCAACCUCCUGUUUCCAUAGAGGGAUUUAAAAUGGAAACCGAAGGUCAAGAAUUUGUUCGUAUUUUAGAACAAAAGUUAAAAGGUCUUAAGAUCACAGUUAUGUCCCAUGAAGAUUAUUCUGAGGAUAAUAACGAAAACCAUAUUGACCAAUUAUCUGAUAUGUUUGCUAAUUUAGACAUUAGUAACCUUGACAUUAAUAAUACUAAUAAUAUAAACCCUGUUUAUUCUCCUAGACCUAUAGAAAAGUAUUAUUACAAAUGCCCCUCACCGUAAGAUUUGCUCUUUGAGGAACUUGAACCAUUCCAGAAUUCUUAUUCAGGAAAAGCCAUUUAUGACUGGAGUGUUGAUAGUCUUAAUGACAAAUAGAUUAUAGAUAUAGUCCAUAGGAUGAUCAUGUAUUCUACUGUUUGCAAGCAACAUGAAAAUUCAUAUAGUUCUAUAGCAUCCUUUAUAACCACGGGAUUUGUUGGCCAACUUAGAGGCUGGUGGGAUCAUUGUCAUACCCUAAAUUUUUCCCCACCUAAAGGCAUUCAUUUACAUUUCAAGCAUUUGUAUUUAUCAACUUGCAUCCACUCAUUGACAUAAAUUUCAUUUUAAUGGCAUUUAUUUAAUUUCAUUAGAAUUUUUUAAUUUCAUUGACAUAAAUUUCCCCACUUAAAUUUCAUUUUAAUGGCAUUUAUUUAAUUUUAUUAGAAUUUUUUUCUUCAUUUACCAUGCCAUUCAUAUAAUUUUUCUUUCCAUGCAUCCAUUUGGCUUUGAUUUGCAUUUUUUAAAUUCAAUUAAUUUGGAUUUUAUUUGGACCUAUUUGGUUUUGAUCUUUGUUGCUAGAUUUUUUAACAUAAUUCUUUCAUGGUUUGAAAAUAUAAGUAAUUAGGUUGGUUUGAGAUUUUGAACUAAGUGACAAAGGAUGUAAUUAAGUCAAGAAUUAAAAAAAAGGGGAUAAUCUUAGUCAUGAUAAUUUAUUUGAUUCUAUUAAUUGGAUUUAAGAAAAUAUUUGGUCACAUUUAAUAAAUAAAUAUCAUUUCUUUAUCUUAAAAUUAAAAAAAAAGUAGUCACAUUUAAUUUCACUUUGUCUUCUACAUCACAAAUAAAUAAAAAGAUUUCAAAAAAAAUAUAAAUAUAAGUUUUUACAUUAUAAUAAGGUAGUUUUUACAGUAACAAACUACAUUAAAAAAAGAGAAUAAGUACAAAAAAAAAGUUGAUCUCUCAAGGCUUGAAUUGACUAGGCCAUGCUACCAUCUCUACACCUUAACCAUAGUACACUUGUGGAGCAAAAUUUUGUCUUGUACCUGCAGUAAAACAGAGCAUCAAGUUAACACCAUUUUAGAAUAAGAGACAAAGCAAAGAGCCAAAAUAUGAAGAAAGCAAAUACAGGCUAUCACAAUUUCAAAUAUAACAGAGGUUUAUACUAGUUGAUCAAAACAAACUCUCACACUUCAAAAGUAACCAACUGCAUAUCCAAUUAUGUCAAUGAACAUCAACUACUGCAAAUCCUAAUCCAAAGCAUAGGAAAUCAGUAUAAAUUGGAGCUCUUUUCUUAAAGAAAGGGGAGGAAAAAAAUUAAGAAAAACGUUUGAGAUAAAGAGUUAUAAAACCACCAAAGAUCAGAUAAGAAAAAGACUAAGAACCUUCAAACAAACUAGCAACCAUCAAGAAUAAAAAAUUCCCAGCAGUCACACCAAAAAGCUAGUUAAAAAACCAUAGCAGUCGGAAAAACCUCAUCCACAAAAGACAGUCUUUCAUUUCAGAGGAAAUAAAAAUCGUCCAAAAAGAAGUUGAAGUGGACUAAAGGAGAGAGAGAGAUCCAUAAACGUUUACCUUCGAGGUUGGUAAGAGAACCUCGCCGGAGUCUCAAAACUCUGUCGAGGUCGUUUUCGCCUCUGUCUUCGUGUAUUACAUUCUUUCCCUUACUACUUAUUACUUGUCUCACAUUGAAUGGAGGUCUUUUUUUGUGUUUAGGUCGUUAAUUGGUAAUUCGUUAGGUUAGGGUUUUAGUUCUCUCUCGAUUCGGAAGAAUAGUUGUUUUUUUGUUAUUUUAGAGGACGAAUUCAAAAUCUACAACAAAAAUUGGUGGGGGGUCGUGUUUAGGUCUUAGGGUUUUGAGUUGAAGAGCCGCUAUAGAAGGCGGCGGCGCCGCCGGCCACCGCUAUGCUCUGGUGAGAAUGGUUGGAUGGAGUCUGAUUUGAUUUCUCUCUCUUUUCUUUUAAUAACCUUUGAGAGAGAGGAACCAACUAAGCAUGAGGGAGAAAGAGGAAAUAUUUAGUGAUAGGAUUCUUACUGACUUUAAUUCCCCUUCUUUACAUUUAUUUUAUUUCAAUAUCAUUUAUACGGUAAUAAAAGAAAAUCUUAGUACACAUAAAUAAAAGUUUGUUGGAAAAUGGUCUUUUUAAUAUCACUAAAUGUUGGUUGUUUAUUUACAUGAGGAUAACAUUUAUUGCUUGGUCUUUUUUGCUAAGAUUUCUAGGAGAGAAUACGUGUGUGACAGAAGGAAGAGAUGAGGCAACUAAACUCACCUUCUAUCUUGGUUAUCUCUUUUAAUUUUAGGGUUUUGUUUGGGCCUGGAAUGUUGGACUUUGUCAUUUUUCCUUUUGUAUAUGACACUGCGAGCCCAAUUCGCUCCAUUGGGCUGCCACUUUGGGCUUUUCCUCUGCUAUAUGCCCCCCAUUUGUUCUUUGAAACCCAGGUCCAUUUCUUUUUUUUGUUUGUUUGAUUUUGUUAAAAAAAUUAAAAAUAGAUUAUUUUUUUAUUAUUAAAAAAGAAAUUAAUUUUGAGUUUUAAAAAAAUUUUAAAAAAUAAAUUUUCUUAGUUUAUUUUAAUAUUUUAAUUACUAUUUGGAUAAUACAUUUAGUUUUGGUUUCUCUCUCUCUCUCUCUCUCUCUCUCUCUCUCUCUCUAUAUAUAUAUAUAUAUAUAUAUAUAUAUAUAUAUAUAUAUAUAUAUAUAUNNNNNNNNNNNNNNNNNNNNNNNNNNNNNNNNNNNNNNNNNNNNNNNNNNNNNNNNNNNNNNNNNNNNNNNNNNNNNNNNNNNNNNNNNNNNNNNNNNNNNNNNNNNNNNNNNNNNNNNNNNNNNNNNNNNNNNNNNNNNNNNNNNNNNNNNNNNNNNNNNNNNNNNNNNNNNNNNNNNNNNNNNNNNNNNNNNNNNNNNNNNNNNNNNNNNNNNNNNNNNNNNNNNNNNNNNNNNNNNNNNNNNNNNNNNNNNNNNNNNNNNNNNNNNNNNNNNNNNNNNNNNNNNNNNNNNNNNNNNNNNNNNNNNNNNNNNNNNNNNNNNNNNNNNNNNNNNNNNNNNNNNNNNNNNNNNNNNNNNNNNNNNNNNNNNNNNNNNNNNNNNNNNNNNNNNNNNNNNNNNNNNNNNNNNNNNNNNNNNNNNNNNNNNNNNNNNNNNNNNNNNNNNNNNNNNNNNNNNNNNNNNNNNNNNNNNNNNNNNNNNNNNNNNNNNNNNNNNNNNNNNNNNNNNNNNNNNNNNNNNNNNNNNNNNNNNNNNNNNNNNNNNNNNNNNNNNNNNNNNNNNNNNNNNNNNNNNNNNNNNNNNNNNNNNNNNNNNNNNNNNNNNNNNNNNNNNNNNNNNNNNNNNNNNNNNNNNNNNNNNNNNNNNNNNNNNNNNNNNNNNNNNNNNNNNNNNNNNNNNNNNNNNNNNNNNNNNNNNNNNNNNNNNNNNNNNNNNNNNNNNNNNNNNNNNNNNNNNNNNNNNNNNNNNNNNNNNNNNNNNNNNNNNNNNNNNNNNNNNNNNNNNNNNNNNNNNNNNNNNNNNNNNNNNNNNNNNNNNNNNNNNNNNNNNNNNNNNNNNNNNNNNNNNNNNNNNNNNNNNNNNNNNNNNNNNNNNNNNNNNNNNNNNNNNNNNNNNNNNNNNNNNNNNNNNNNNNNNNNNNNNNNNNNNNNNNNNNNNNNNNNNNNNNNNNNNNNNNNNNNNNNNNNNNNNNNNNNNNNCCAUUUAUUUUAUUUUAGUUUGAGAUCAUGUUAUAAAAAUCAUUAAAAAUUAAUUUAGUUAUUUUCAUCAUUAGUUUUAGAUCAUGUUAUAAAAAUUAUUAAAAAUAUUAACUUAGUUGUUUUCAUCAUUAUUUUUAGAUUGUUAUAAGAAAUAUUAAAAAAAGUUAAUUUAGUUACUUUAAUUAUUAUUUUUAGAUUGUGUUAUAAGAAUUUUUUAUAUUUUUUAAAAUAGUUAAUUUAUUUAUUUUCAUUAUAAUUUAAAAUUAUGUUAUAAGAAAUAUUAAAAAAGGGUUAAUUUAGUUAUAUUUAUGUUUAGAUUAUGUUAGAAAAAAAUAAAAUAAAAUAAAUUUAUGUUUAAUUUAUUUUCUUUGGCUAUUAUUUUAGUUAGAUUUUAAAGAGAACAAAAAGUAUUUAAUUGUUUUAUUAUCAGACUUUUUAAAAAAAAAAUAUGCAUAUGUCUAAUAUUAAGUUGAUCUUAUUUUCUCACUUUAUUUUACUAGACAUAAAAAGAAUAUAAUAGUAUUUUUCUCCAACUUUAUUUCUUGCUAUUUUAUCUAAAUGUUUGAAUAACUAUAGAAUUAUUAUUUUUCCAAAUAAUAUCGUUUUCUUUGUAGUUUUAUUUAUUAUUGUUAGAAUGUUAUGAAUAAAUAAUUAUAUAAAUAUCUAGUAAUGAUGUUGACUAAUUAAUAAAAUAAAAUACUUAUGACUACUUUGUUAAACUUUGAUCCUACCCCAAGUUAUACAUUUUAAUCUAAUUUAUUUAUUUCUUAUCCCAAUUAAAACGCUUUACUAUUUAAGUUAAAAUAUUAAAACAUUUUUUUAAUAACUCAAAAGAAGUGGACUAUUGGAAUCUAGCAUUCAUGUAGGAACCCUUGAAUGAUCUGUCUUGAACCACACGUUUUGGAUUAAGUGUUCAUUCUUUUUAAAACACAUUAAUUAACUUGGACAAAUAAGGGCCCUUGGGAUCUCGCAUUCUGAUGUAACCCUUUGAGCAAUUGAUUCUUAUCAAGCGUUCGUUGUCCAUCAAACAAAUUUCUCAACUAAUUCGAAUGAAAAAGGACCAUUGGAAUCUAGCAUUCCGGUGGAACCCCGAGUGAUUGAUCCCGAGGCUCAUGUCUCGUUCUCAUCAAAUAUUCGUCAUUCACCUAUAAAAUACGUCCAACACAUCAAACUCUUUUCUCGCCGCCGUGCAAUUAAUCUGAAAAACCUUUUCAUAAACAAAAGACAUAUUGUCUUAAGAUGAUGUGAAACAAUGUUUCGUCCACAAUUGUUGAGUUGAGAUAAGCGACGUUUUUCCGAAUGUUGAUUCGUAAAUCCAUUCGAUGUGUGGUAUAUGUCCUCUCCUCAUCUGUUUUUGGUAAAACAAUGAUUUCGUCGAUUAACACAAUAUAGCUUUCGCUAAAAUCGACCAAUAAACAAAUAUUUUUCUACCUAAAACUACGUAAGCCUUGAGUUCUCUAUUGAGAUACAUAGGAGCAGGAUUGCGAAAUCUUGUCAGGCCCAUUAAUAAAAAACUUAGGUUUAGUCCCCUUCUUUGCAAAAAUCCAAAAACAUUCUUCUCUCUUCUAUUCUUUCUUUCCCACCUAAUAACUCGUGAAGCCUAACAUUUCUAAGCUAACACUAACGUGCAUAAUUAACCUAAUGGUUUCCGUUGAGUACAACGGACGUGAGGGGUGCUAAUACCUUCCCCUUGCGUAAUCGACUCCCGAACCCUGAUAUUGGUUGCGAUGACUGUAUCUUAUCCUUUCUUUUAGAGGUUUUAUUGAUAUUUUCCAUUUCCCUACUUGGGAAUAAAUAAAGUUCGGUGGCGACUCUGUUUAGUCCAUCAUGCGAGCGUGCGAUUGCGCUUCGUUUAAGUCGUGUUCUCAUUUUUCAAGGUGCGACAGAGGCGUCUCUGUUCAGUCCAUCAUGCGAUUGUGCGAUUGCGCCUCGCUUAAGUCGUGUUCUCAUUUUUCGAGGUGCGACAAUCAUUACCUCACCGAAUCUCAGAAAUUAGAAAUUCUUAAUCAUAAGAAAAUCAUUAAGAUCGAGCCAGGAACUAGUAGAAGCACUACUUUGGCUACGACUACCACGGGAGAAGAAGAUGUAGUGUAUACUAUGUGUCUCUCCAUCUUACAGCAUUUUGUAGGAACCAAUGUCCCUAUUGGAGAAAAAAUCUAGACACUUCUCCAAAACCUUAGGUGUCCUUCUCUUACCCACUUUAGAUGGUAUAAGAAUAUUUUUCUUUCAAGAGUUUAUCAAUUAAACAAUCCCAAUUCUUUGCAUUGGAAAGCAAAAUUUAUUGAUGGAUUACCUCAUUUCUUUUCUGAAAAGGUUAGACAAUCUUUAAGACAGAAAAAUGAUGGGAUAAAUAUAAAUUAUUCUGACCUUACUUAUGGUCAUAUAAUUAGCACUGGUGUUAAUGAAGGAUUACCUUUAUGUAAUGACAUAAAGCUUAAAAAUCAACUUAAAAAGCAAAAGCUUUCGGAGAAACAUCAACUUGGUGAAUUUUGCGAACAAUUUGCUUUUGAUCUUGGAAAAUCUCCAGAUAAUAAUAAGAAGAAAAAAGGAAACAUUUUCCGCAAUAAACCUUAUAAGGAUAAGUCAAAAAAUUCUUAUAAAAAUUCUUAUAAAAAUAAGAAAAAGGGUCACUACAAUAAAGGUAGACCUAAAGAAAAAUCUUUUGACCCUAAAGGUAAAAGAAAAGCCAAAAAGCUUGAAAUAACGUGUCAUAAAUGUGGCGAAUAUGGUCAUUAUGCCAACCAAUGUUGGACUAAAAAAGCGCUUAAUGAGAUAGAAGAUGAACAAUUGCGUUCUCAAUUAGAAAAAGUUUUACUUCUCAUUUUUGAUUCUGAAAAUUAUUCUUCAGAAGAGGAUAUUAAUAUGAUUUAUGAAUCCUCUACUGAAUGCUCUUCUGAAUAUUCUGACAGUAAUGAUUAUCAAUAUAAUCAAUUAGAUUACUGGAAAUCAAUUGUUGAUAUGAAUGGGUUAAAUGUUUUAACCUCAGAACAAGACGAAGCUAUAAAACCUAUAGAAUUUAUUUCUAAUAAAGAACUAAAAAGAAAAAUGCUUGAGGUCUUAAUACAAGAAAACUCUAAAAAAGAUUUUCCUGUUAUUAUAGAAGCACCUUACCAAUUAAGUGAGGUUUUGUCUAGAUUUCGACAGUCUAACAUCCGUGAAACUCCUGCUUCUAUUAUGGAUUUAAAUAGAGAAAUAAAUCUCUUAAAUAAUGCGAUAUCUCAGAUUAAAAGAGAAAACUAUGGUUUAUCUCAAAGACUCACUCUGUUAGAAUCUAGUAAUUCCAAGAUUGAAGAGAUAUCUUUAACUAGUAAUCAUUCACAUAGUAUUGAAUUCGUUUCUCUCAUUAAUAGAGUGACCUCUCAAAAAUGGUUUGUUAGAAUAACUUUAGUUAUUAAUAGAAAUUUCAUAUUAGAAAAUGAAGUUGCCCUUAUUGAUAGUGGCGCUGAUUUAAACUGCCUUCAAUAAGAAAGGAAUUAUUAUCCACUAAAUACAAUUAGAAUAAAUCCUCAAAUACUUAUACCACAAGCUGGAGGAGAGAAACUUCAGCGUAUAAUUAUAAAAGUUGUUAAUGCUAUAAUUUAGUAAAUAAAGAUAUUAUAGUUUACCUACUCAUUUAUCUGGGAUAAAAUAACUAGGAAAUCAUUAAUAUAGAAACUACCUGUUUCAUGGCAUAAAUUAAUAGCCUCAUAAUUAAAUGUUGAUCAGAGGGAGGAUUACACUCACAUUACAAAUAAUCAAGAAAUUACUAUUUAGAAAUUUAUAUUACUGAUCCAUCAUACUAAGGAAUGUUAAAUGAAGUUAAAGAUAUUCUUCUUAAAAAAGAAAAACAAAUUUGUUUUCUUAAAGAAGAAGUAGAUUUAUUAAACAUUACUUCUCAACUUAAGAAACCUGAAAUUCAAAAUCAAAUUAAAUUAAUUAAUCAACAGUUUAGAGAUGAAAUCUGCAAUGAUUUACCUAAAGCCUUUUGGGAUAGUAAGAAACAUGUUAUUUCUUUAACUUAUCUUGAUGACUUUAAUGAAAGUCAGAUUCCCACUAAAGCUAGGCUUGCUCAAAUGAAUCAUGAGUAUUUGGAUUUAUGCAAAAAGGAGAUAGAAUCUCUUCUAGAAAAAAAUUUAAUAAGAAAAUCUAAAUCUCCUUGGGAACGUGGGGUCCCUAGACUUGUUAUAAAUUACAAACCUCUUAAUAAAGUGUAAAAUGGAUUAGAUAUCCUAUUCCUAAUAAAAAAGAUCUUUUAGAUAGAUUAAACAAUGCUUUAAUCUUCUCUAAAUUUGAUAUGAAAUCUGGUUAUUGGCAAAUUAGGAUUAAUGAAUCUGAUAAGUAUAAAACAGUCUUUAGUCUUCCUUUUGGACAUUAUGAAUGGAAUGUUCUUCCUUUUGGCCUUAAAAAUGCCCCUUCUGAAUUUCAAAAUAUUAUGAAUGAUAUUUUUAAUCCUUAUACUGAAUUUAUAAAUGUUUAUAUUGAUGAUGUCUUAGUUUUUUCUAAAACUAUAGAUCAACAUGUUAAACAUUUAAAAAUAUUCAAAGGAUUAGUUAAAUAUAAUGGAUUAGUUAUAUCUGCUCCUAAGAUGAAACUUUUUCAAACAAAAUUUAGAUUUUUAGGUCAUGAAAUUGACCAAGGAACUAUAAUUCCUAUACAAAGAAGUAUUGAAUUCGCUUCUAAAUUCCCCAAUACUAUUACAGAUAAAAAACAAUUACAAAGGUUUCUUGGUAGUCUCAAUUAUAUAGCAGAUUAUUAUGAAAAUCUUGCAAAAGAUAUUGCCAUAUUACAUGCUAGGCUAAAAAAGAAUCCUGGCCCUUGGAUUGAUAAAUAUUCUCAGGAUGUCCAAAGAAUUAAAAAUAAAGUUAAAUGUUUGCCUUGUUUCUCCCUUGCUAACCCAAAAUAUUUCAAAAUUGUUGAACCAAAUGCUUCUGACUUACGCUAUGGAGGAAUCCUUAAACAAAUUAUACCUGAUACAUCAAAAGAAGUUUUAGUCAGAUUUACCUCUGGAAAAUGGAAUCCUGCCCAAUCGUAAUAUUCUACUAUCAAAAAAGAGAUGCUCUCUAUUAUAAAAUGCAUUUCAAAAUUUCAAGAUGAUCUUCUUAAUAAGAAAUUUUUAUUAAAAAUUGAUUGUUGCUCAGCUAAAUCAAUUAUUGAAAAAGAUGUUAAAAAUCUUGUUGCUAAGCAAAUUUUUGCUAUCUGGCAAUCUCAAUUAUCUAUGGUUGAAUUUGACAGACAUUCAACACAUUAAAGGUGAAAAUAAUUCACUUGCUGAUUAUUUAACUCGUGAAUUCUUGCAGGGAAAAAAUGAUGACCCUGUAUAGGGGAAGAGGCCGCGGUUAUGGCCGUAGUGGAAGGGGGAGUAACAAUAUGUUACCCCAGUCAGAAUCAAACAUUCCUCUAAUAGGGGAUUGGACUACAGUUUACAAAGGUAGAAAAAUGCAGCAAUUACCCGCAUCCUUAUCUAAAAAGGAAGAUAUUCCUUCCUCCUCCACUAAUAAAAGUACAUCUUACGAAUAAGUUGCGGUUAAUAACCCACCUCAAGAACAAUUGGAUUAUUUUGAAAAUUCAGUAACUGAAAAAAUCAUGUAUAUUGAUGAAGAAGAUAUCAAAGUCAAUCCAAAUGAUGGAUGGUCUAUCAAAACUAGAUACCUCGAAUCAAGAGGAUAUCCAGGCCUACUUAGAAAAUCUAGGCCUCACCUAGAAAUUCUUCUAACCGUUACUGAAUCGGUAACAUUUACUCACCAUUACUAGAAUAAUAAUCCUGAAAGUUUUAUAAACUUCAGUAAAUGUCACAUUAAUAAAAUCCUGUUACCAAGAGAAUGGGGUCUUAAUCCAAAUGGUGAAAAGGCAAUAAGAAUUGCAGAAGGAAAGUAUAUAUUUCUUUAUUACCGCGGACUAUGUCAAGCUUUUACUCAAGUUUUUGUUAUCAAUCCUAAGAUAAGCAUUCUUGGUUUUUUUCUAUUAAUCCAGAGAUGUAUGGAAGUAGACUAUACCAAAUUGGUUUUAUGAAUGGUGGACUAAAUUUGGUCCGUCUUUGGAAAUACUACCCAAAGAAUUACUUGAUUUAUACAAUCCCUGGUGUGACAAUAGCCCACUUAUUGCAAAUAUUUUAUCUGAUAAUUUAAAUACCGGACAAUGUCCAUUUUGGUUCUUUACCAAAUUUCCGAUUCCAUGGAUAUGGAGAUGGUCAAUCACCAUAUCUCAAGAUAAAUUCAACAUACCCAUUUUAGAAAGAAAUUUCUUCUAUAAAUGGUGGAACAAAAUGAGUUCCGAAGAAGUCCGGAAAAUAGGAAAUUUAAUUCAAACAGCUAUAGCUGAAGACCAAAGUAAUAAGGUCAAAGAGAAAAGCUCCCAACAAAUGUCUAUGGGAAAUCUGAAGUACUUCUUCCAGAGAAAAUAUCCAAAUGAAUCAGAAGAUGAAAUCAUGGUUAGAACUUUGGACCAUAUGAAAAACCAAUUCUUCUCCCCUUUUCCAGCAAAAGCAUCAAAAGAUGAGGAUUCAUCUAUGAAGACCAGAUCUUCCAUGGGAUCAAUUGAUUCCCACAACUUUGACUAUUUGGCAGGAGAAGCCUGAGCAGAGGACCGAACUGCAGAGGAUUUCUGGGACGCAAUGAUUCAAUCCAUGGCCCAGAAAGCAAAAGAGAAAGCAAAAAAAAUAAGAAUCAAUAAUCAAAGGCAGAAGAUAAGAAAGAAUCCUAUCUUGUUUGCCAUUUCAAAGCAAUAAUGAAAAAGAAUCAAUAAACAAAAGCAAAAGACAAGGUUAAUGGAAUAAGAAAAUAAUCAAAGGCAGAAGAUAAGAAAGAAUCCUAUCUUGUUUGCCAUUUCAAAGCAAUAAUGAAAAAGAAUCAAUAAACAAAAGCAAAAGACAAGGUUAAUGGAAUAAGAAUCUUGUCAAAAGCAAAAUUUGCCAAAAGCAAAAGAUAAGAAAGAAUCUUAUCUUAAUGUAAAAGUUUUUUGUUUUUUAUUAAUGUUUAGUAGUUCACCUACUAUUGUAGGUAGAUGUUACCGGUUUAAAUAGUAAGUCUUUGCUUCCAUAUAUAAGGGGAUUUAAGUUUCUUUUGUAAUCAAGUUUUUGCAAAAUAAGUUUGAAAGAAAAUUCUCUAUACUUCUCUAGACUUCUAUACCAUUUCUUUACUUUCUUAUAUAUAUUUCGACAUUUUUAUUAAUGUGACAUUUACUAAAGUUUAUAAAACUUUCAGGAUUAUUAUUCUGGUAAUGGUGAGUAAAUGUUACCGAUUUGGUAACGGUUAGAAGAAUUUCUAGGUGAGGCCUAGAUUUUCCAUGUAGGCCUGGAUAUCCUCUUGAUUCGAGGUAUAUAGUUUUGAUAGACGAUCCAUCCUUUGGAUUGAUUUUGAUAUCUUCUUCAUCAUUAUACAUUGUUGGUUCUAUGUGUUGGCAACAAUUUUGAUCAAACCUAGAGUGUUCACAAGUUGUCACAAGUGUUGUCUUGACAUAAGAUAACAUGUACCUGCAGGAUGUUUAACAUGUGAAUAUGCAGGAUUUUAUUGAGAUGUCAUGACAUCUGUAUACAGAACAUUCAGUCUGAAUGUUAUGUAUUAUGUGAUUGCGUUUUUUAUGCUAAUCUAUGUAUGACUGAAGAGAUGAUUAAACGUGCAUUCAAUCAGUAAUUACAACCAGAUUGACUUAUUUUCCAACGAGAUAUAAUCAGCUGUCAUGAGAAGAUAUGAAUGGAAAAUAGUUUUAGGGUUUUAUGAUGUCCAAGCCCAGCCAAAUGCUUCUAUAUAAAGGACAUGGAAAACCUGGUUUUAUACACAAGAAAUAACGAACAAAAUAUUGAGAGAGAAUAAGGGUUUGAGUCUUGUGUGGUCGUGUGAAUUGUAAGCCAUUCAUUCAUCCAUAGAUGAUUGAAUUGGACUGAUUUUUGAGUUGUAAUUUAUCCACUCUAAGCUUUGAAGCAUGAGUGUGUGUUUACUUGAUUGAAGCUUUUAAGCAAGAUCAAGUAUGUGUCUUUGAAGAGUGUCUUCUUUUCAUUGUAAUUCAUGUUUUAUAUCACUGUUGUGAUUGAGGGGGAGUGAGUAGGAUCUCAUAUCUAAGAGUUCUUAGGUAGAAGUCACACGGGUAGAGAUUAGGUGAAAAGACUGUAACUUGAAGUUAUUUACUGAAAGUCUUUGAACUGAUUCUGUUUAGUGGAUUUCCUUCCUGACUUGGUAGCCCCCAGACGUAGGUGAGUUUGCACCGAACUAGGUUAACAAUUGCUUGUGUCUCUCGCAUUACUGUUCUUUAUCUUUUAUCCUGUUUGUAUUAUUCAGAUAUUAGUGUCGUGACAUUACCUUUGAAAUCUCAUAUCUGAUACCAGAAUUUCAAUUGGUAUCAGAGCAGGCAUCCUGCUCUGGUUCUGGGUGAGAUCUAGGGACGUUACUUUCUAGUAUUAUGGAUAGAGACGGAGGACCCAUUCACAGACCACCUAUUCUGGAUGGAUCCAACUAUGACUAUUGGAAACCUCGAAUGGUAGCCUUCCUAAAAUCUUUGGAUAAUAAGGCUUGGAAGGUUGUUUUAACAGGCUGGGAACAUCCAUUUAUUACUAAGGAAGGAGAAGCCACAACUGAUAAGAAGGCUGAGGAACAAUGGACCAAGGAAGAGGAUGAUCUAGCCCUUGGAAACUCUAAAGCAUUGAAUGCUAUAAUCUAUGGAGUAGAUAAGAACAUCUUCAGAUUGGUAAACAACUGUGAGGUGGCUAAAGAUGCUUGGAACAUUCUCAAAACCACUCAUGAAGGCACCUCUAGAGUGAAGAUGUCUAGACUGCAGCUUCUCACUACCAAGUUUGAGAAUUUAAGGAUGAAAGAAGAUGAAAAUAUUCAUGAAUUUCAUAUGAAUAUCCUUGAAAUUGCUAAUGCCUCAGGAGCCCUGGGUGAGAAGAUGUCAGAUGAAAAACUAGUGAGGAAAAUACUCAGGUACCUUGAAAUUGCUAAUGCCUCAGGAGCCCUGGGUGAGAAGAUGUCAGAUGAAAAACUAGUGAGGAAAAUACUCAGGUCACUUCCUAAGAGAUUUGCCAUGAAAGUGACAGCCAUAGAAGAGUCUCAAAACAUUUCCAAUAUGAGAGUUGAUGAGCUAAUUGGAUCCCUCCAAACAUUUUAGAUGGGAAUGUGUGAUGGAUCUUAAAAGAAAGUCAAAAGCAUAGCCUUCAUGUCAAACACUGAAGAGAAAGAGGAAGAAAAUGGCCAAGAUACUGAUGAAGAUCUAGCAAAUGAUGUAGCAUUACUGGGAAGACAGUUCAACAAACUUCUGAAAAAGAUGGAUGUAAGGUUUAAGUCUAAUGUCAAGAACAUCUCAUCUGACAUCAGUAAGUCCAAUAAUGCUGGAAGAAGAACAAGAUCUGAUGAAAAGUCCAAAGAAGGAAAAGGAGUUCAAUGCCAUUAAUGUGAUGGGUAUGGAUACAUUAAAGCUGAAUAUGGAACCUACCUCAAGAAACAGAAGAAGAGACUUGUUGCUACUUGGUCUGAUGAAAGUGAAACAAAAGAGUCUACAAAUCUUGUGACUGCCUUGACUGGAAGAUGGGGUUCUGAUGAAGACUCAAGUGAUAAUGAAGUAACCUUUGAUGAGUUAGUCACUAAAUACAGAAAGUUGUGUCACAGAAGUGAAGAAGUGUGUCAACAAGUGGAAAGUCAAAAGAAAGUGAUAACACAACUGGAGAAUGAGAAGGUAGAACACUUGGAAACCAUCUCUAAGUUAAAAACUGAAGCAGUGUUCUUGAAUUCCAAACUGGAUGAGAUGAAAAAGUAUGUCAGAAUGCUAAAUAAUGGAUCUGACACCUUUAGACAAAAUUCUCCAGACUAGACAAAUGGCAGGAGACAAGUCUGGCAUUGGGUUCAAUGAAUCCAAACAUGAGUGCAGUCAUACUGGUAGCAAACCAAAAUCUAAACCUGAGUGCAGUACUGGUAGCAAACCAAAGAUGUCACAUCAUAUGUCACAACAUCAUAAAGGAAGACAGCAGAAAGGGAAACAUCAAAGAUGGAGAUGUCAUUACUGUGGAAAAUUUGGCUACAUAAAACCAUUAUGCUAUAAGUUGUAUGGCUAUCCUAGUCCUUCUCAUCAUCAACCUAGACCCAAACAUCACAUACUUGUCAACAGAAAACAAUGGGUUCCUAGGACUGGUGUUACAAACCUGAUAGCUCACACUUCCUAGUAUGGCUAUCCUAGUCCUUCUCAUCAUCAACCUAGACCCAAACAUCACAUACUUGUCAACAGAAAACAAUGGGUUCCUAGGACUGGUGUUACAAACCUGAUAGCUCACACUUCCUUCAGAGUUUCACCCAAAGAAGACUGGUAUUUUGACAGUGGGUGCUCCAGACACAUGACUGGAAACAAAAACCUGCUAACUGGCCUUCAUCCUCAUGCCACCAGCUAUGUAACCUUUGGUGAUGGAGCAAAAGGUGAAAUCAAGGGGAUUGGUAAGCUUAACUGCCCUGGAGUCCCUAACCUUGACAAUGUCCAACUUGUUAAGGGACUGACUGCAAACCUAAUAAGCAUCAGUCAACUAUGUGACCAAGGUCUAACGGUAAACUUCACAAAAACUGAGUGUCUGAUUACUAAUAAAGAAAAUGAAGUGAUCAUGAAAGGAGUUAGGUCUAAGGACAACUGCUAUAUGUGAAGUUCUCAAGAAACUGGUUAUUCAUCAAUGUGUACUCUAGCCAAAGAAGAAGAAGUGAAGAUAUGGCAUCAAAGAUUGGGCCAUCUGCAUCUUAAAGGAAUGAAGAGGAUUAUAUUUGUUGAAGCUGUUAGAGGAAUUCCCAAAUUGAAGAUUGAUGAAGGAAGAGUUUGUGGGGAGUGUCAGAUUGGAAAACAGACAAAGAUGUCACAUCAGAAGCUCAGACAUGACACCACUUCCAGAGUGCUGGAACUUCUCCAUAUGGACUUGAUGGGACGCAUGCAGGUGGAAAGUCUUGGUGGGAAGAAGUAUGCUUAGGUUGUGGUGGAUGACUUCUCCAGAUACACCUGGGUCAAUUUUAUAAGAGAGAAAUUUGAUGUAUUUGAAGUCUUCAAAGAUCUCUGUCUAAGACUUCAAAGAGAAAGAGAAAGUCAGGUUAUCAAAAUCAGAAGUGAUCAUGGGAAGGAAUUUGAGAACAGCAAAUUUGCUGGAUUCUGUGCAUCAGAAGGAAUUAGUCAUGAGUUCUCAUCUCCCAUUACUCCUCAACAAAAUGGUGUGGUAGAAAGAAAAAUGAGAAUUCUCCAAGAAUCAGCCAGAGCUAUGAUUCAUGCUAAGAAAUUGCCCUACAACUUCUGGGCUGAAGCUAUGAACACAACCUGCUAUGUUCACAACAGAGUAACCUUGAAGAAAGGGACUCCUACUACUUUAUAUGAAGUCUGGAAAGGGAGAAGAUCUACAGUCAAAUACUUCCAUGUGUUUGGUAGUAAAUAUUAUAUCUUGACUGAUCGUGAACAAAGAAGGAAGAUGGAUCCCAGGAGUGAUGAAGGAAUAUUUCUGGGCUACUCAACAAACAGCAGAGCAUUUAGAGUCUUUAAUUCCAGAACAAAAAUAAUGAUGGAAUCUAUCAAUGUUGUGGUUGAUGAUCAGCAGACUGAUUUCACAGACGAUGUUGAGACAUCCCAAAAUGAGUUUGCAUCGAUUCUGUUUAGUGGAUUUCCUUCCUGGCUUGGUAGCCCCCAGACGUGGGUGAGUUUGCACCGAACUGGGUUAACAAUUGCUUGUGUCUCUCGCAUUACUGUUCUUUGUCUUUUAUCUUGUUUGUAUUGUUCAUGUAUUAGUGUCGUGACAUUACCUUCGACAUCUCAUAUCUGAUACCAGAAUUUCAUACAUGAUUUUUUCAGUUACUGGAUUUUCAAAAUAAUCCAAUUGCUCUUGAGGUGGGUUAUUAACCGCAACUUCUUUGUAAGAUGUACUUUUAUUAGAGGAGGGGGAAGGAAUAUCUUCCCUUUUAGAUAAGGAUGCAGGUAAUUGUGGCAUUUUUCUAUCUUUGUAAACCGUAGUCCAAUCCCCUAUUAGAGGAGUGUUUGAUUCUGGUUGGGGUAACAUAUUGUUACUCCCCCUUCCACUACGGCCAUAACCGCGGCCUCUUCCCCUAUACGGGGUCAUCAUUUUUUCCCUGCAAAAAUUCACGAGUUAAAUAAUCAGCAAGUGAAUUAUUUUUACCUUUAAUGUGUUGAAUGUCAAAUUCAAACAUAGAUAAUUGAGAUUUCCAGCUAGCAAAAAUUUGCUUAGCAACAAGAUUUUUAACAUCUUUUUCAAUAAUUGAUUUAGCUGAGCUACAAUCAAUUUUUAAUAAAAAUUUCUUAUUAAGAAGAUCAUCUUGAAAUUUUGAAAUGCAUUUUAUAAUAGAGAGCAUCUCUUUUUUGAUAGUAGAAUAUUUUGAUUGGGCAGGAUUCCAUUUUCCAGAAGUAAAUCUAACUAAAACUUCUUUUGAUGUAUCAGGUAUAAUUUGUUUAAGGAUUCCUCCAUAGCCUAAGUCGGAAGCAUCUGUUUCAACAAUUUUGAAAUAUUUAGGAUUAGCAAGGGAUAAACAAGGCAAACAUUUAACUUUGUUUUUAAUUCUUUGGACUGCCUGAGAAUGUUUAUCAGUCCAAGGGCCAGGAUUCUUUUUAAGCCUAGCAUGUAAUAUGGCAAUAUCUUUUGCAAGAUUUUCAUAAUAAUCUGCUAUAUAAUUGAGACUACCAAGAAACCUUUGUAAUUGUUUUUUAUCUGUAAUAAUAUUGGGGAAUUUAGAAGCGAAUUCAAUACUUCUUUGUAUAGGAAUUAUAGUUCCUUGGUCAAUUUCAUGACCUAAAAAUCUAACUUUUGUUUGAAAAAGUUUCAUCUUAGGAGCAGAUAUAACUAAUCAAUUAUGUUUAACUAAUCCUUUGAAUAUUUUUAAAUGUUUAACAUGUUGAUAUAUAGUUUUAGAAAAAACCAAAACAUCAUCAAUAUAAACAAUUAUAAAUUCAGUAUAAGGAUUAAAAAUAUCAUUCAUAAUAUUUUGAAAUUCAGAAAGGGCAUUUUUAAGGCCAAAAGGAAGGAUAUUCCAUUCAUAAUGUCCAAAAGGAACAGUAAAGGUUGUUUUAUACUUAUCAGAUUUAUUAAUCUGAAUUUGCCAAUAACCAUAUUUCAUAUCAAAUUUAGAGAAGAUUAAAGCAUUAUUUAAUCUAUCUAAAAGAUCUUUUUUAUUAGGAAUAGGGUAUCUAAUACAUUUUAACACUUUAUUAAGAGGUUUGUAAUUUAUAACAAGUCUAGGGACCCCACAUUCCCUUUCGGCAGUAUUAUUAACAUAAAAAGUUGUGCAGCUCCAAGGAGAUUUGGAUUUUCUUAUUAAAUUUUUCUCUAAAAGAGAUUCUAUCUCCUUUUUGCAUAAAUCCAAAUACUCAAGAUUCAUUUGAGAAGGCCUAGCUUUCGUGGGAAUCUGACUUUCAUUAAAGUCAUCAAGAUAAGGUAAAGAAAUAACAUGUUUCUUUCUAUCCCAAAAGCCAUUAGGUAAAUCAUUGUAGAUUUCAUCUCUAAACUGUUGAUCAAUUAAUUUAAUUUGAUUUUGAAUUUCAGGUUUCUUAAGUUGAGAAGUAAUGUUUAAUAAAUCUACUUCUUCUUUAAGAAAACAAAUUUGUUUUUCUUUUUUAAACUGUUGAUCAAUUAAUUUAAUUUGAUUUUGAAUUUCAGGUUUCUUAAGUUGAGAAGUAAUGUUUAAUAAAUCUACUUCUUCUUUAAGAAAACAAAUUUGUUUUUCUUUUUUAAGAAGAAUAUCUUAAACUUCAUUAAUCAUCCUAGUAUGAGGAUCAGUAAUAAAUUCAAAAGUAAUUCUUUUGUUAUUGAUAAUGGAGGUAAUUCACUUUUGAUCAACAUUAAUUAGAAGCAUAACUUUAUGCAGAAAAGGAGUUCCUAAUAUGAUUCUAUGAGUUAAAUUUUUUACAAGAAUAAAAUUAGUAGGUAAACAAAUAUCUUUGUUACAGAUAUAAGCAUUAGAAAACUUAUAAUUAACCGUGAGUUUAUCUCCUCCAGUUUGGGUAAGAGAUUGUGUGGUUUUAUCAAAGUAUUUAGUGGGAAUAAUUCCUUCUUGAAGGCAGUUUAAAUCAGUGCCACUAUCAAUAAGGGCAACUUCAUUUUCGAAUAUGAAAUUUCUAUUAAUAACUAAAGUUAUUCUAACAAACCAUUUUUGAGAGGUCACUCUAUCAAUGAGAGAACAGAAUUCAUCACUGUGUGAAGGAUUACUAGUUGAAGAUAUCUCUUCAACCUUGGAAUUAUUGGAUUCUAACAGAGUGAGUCUUUGAGAUAAACCAUAGUUUUCUCUUUUAAUCUGAGAUAUCUCUUUCUUUAAGAGAUUUAUUUCUCUAUUUAAAUCCAUAAUAGAAACAGGAGUUUCACGAAUGUUAGACUGUCGAAAUCUAGACAAAACCUUACUUAAUUGGUAAGGUGCUUCUGUAAUAACAGAAAAAACUUUUUUAGAGUUUUCUUGUAUUAAGACCUCAAGCAUUUUUCUUUUUAGUUCUUUAUUAGAAAUAGAUUCUAUAGCUUUUAUAGCUUCGUCUUGUUCUGAGGUUAAAAUAUUUAAUCCAUUCAUAUCAACAAUUGAUUUCCAGUAAUCUAAUUAAUUACAUUGACAAUCAUUACUGUCAGAAUAUUCAGAAGAGCAUUCAGUAGAGGAUUCAUGAAUCAUAUUAAUAUCCUCUUAUGAAGAAUAAUUUUUAGAAUCAGAAUUGAGAAGUAAAACUUUUUUCUAAUUGAGAACGCAAUUGUUCAUCUUCUAUCUCAUUAAGAGCUUUUCUAGUCCAACAUUGGUUGGCAUAAUGACCAUGUUUGCCACAUUUAUGACACGUUAUGUCAAGCUUUUUGGAUUUUCUUUUGCCUUUAGGGUCAAAAGAUUUUUCUUUAGGUCUACCUUUAUUGUAGUGACCCUUUUUCUUAUUCUUAUAAGAAUUUUUAUAAGAAUUUUUUGACUUAUCCUUAUAAGGUUUGUUGCGAUUUUUUUUUUCUUUUUUCUUAUUAUUAUUAUCUGGAGAUUUUCCAAGAUCAAAAGCAAAUUGUUCGCAAAAUUCACCAAGUUGGUGUUUCUCCGAAAGCUUUUUCUGUUUAAGUUGAAUUCUAAGUUUUAUGUCAUUACAUAAAGUUAAUCCUUCAUUAACACAAGUGCUAAUUAUAUGACCAUAAGUAAGGUUAGAAUAUUUUAUAUUUAUCCCAUCAUUUUUCUGUCUUAAAGAUUGUCUAACCUUUCCAGAAAAGAAAUGGGGUAAUCCAUCAAUAAAUUUUUCUUUCCAAUGCAAAGAAUUAGGAUUGUUUAAUUGAUAAACUCUUGAAAGAAAAGUAUCCUUAUACCAUCUAAAGUGGGUAAGAGAAGGACACCUAAGGUUUUGGAGAAGUGUAUGGAUUUUUUCUCUAAUGGGGACAUUGGUUCCUACAAAAUGUUGUAAGAUGGAGAGACACAGAGUAUACACUGCAUCUUCUUCUUCUGUCGCAGUCGUAGCCAAAGUAGUGCUUCUACUGGUUCCUGACUCGAUCUUAAUGAUUUUCUUAUGAUUAAGAAUUUCUAAUUUUUGAGAUUCGGUGAGAUAAUGAUCCCACAAGCCUCUAAGUUGGCCAACAAAACCUAUGGUUAUAAAGGAUGCUAUAGAACUAUCUGAAUUUCCAUGUUGCUUGCAAACAGUAGAAUACAUGAUCAUCCUAUGGAUUGUAUCUAUAAUCUGUUUGUCAUUAAGACCAUCAACAUUCCAUUCAUAAUUGGCUUUUCCUGAAUAAGAAUUCUGGAAUGGUUCAGGUUCCUCAAAGAGCAAAUCUUGCGGUGAGGGGCGUUUGUAAUAAUACUUUUCUAUAAGUCUAGGAGAAUAAACAGGGUUUAUAUUAUUAGUAUUAUUAAUGUCAAGGUUACUAAUGUCUAAAUUAGCAAACAUAUCAGAUAAUUGGUCAAUAUGGUUUUCGUUAUUAUCCUCAGAAUAAUCUUCAAUUAUUAAUGUCAAGGUUACUAAUGUCUAAAUUAGCAAACAUAUCAGAUAAUUGGUCAAUAUGGUUUUCGUUAUUAUCCUCAGAAUAAUCUUCAUGGGACAUAACUGUGAUAUUAAGACCUUUUAACGUUUGUUCUAUGGAAACAGGAGGUUGUACUAUAGGAACAUCCGAAAUAGUGGAUGUGGACAUCUGGUCCUUAGAUUUAUUUAUGAGGUCAAUAAUGAUAUCUUGACGUGCUAUUUUUUUUUCUAAAAGAUUUUUUAUGGAUAAUAGAUCUUUUUCCGUAAAGAUAAAUUGUUCUCCUAAGCAAACAAGAUAAGCAUUGGUAUCAUUCUGAGACCUGAUGACAAAAUUUAAUUCCUUAAGAAUAACUUGAUUUUGUUCAACUCUUUGUAACUGAAGGUUAAGGUAAGGGGUAGCUUCAGUAUUUUGACUCAAACUUAUCGUUUUUUCAGGGGGGAAAAGGAGCUUCCAUUUUCUCUCCUCUAACAUUUUCCCAAGUCUUUGUAAAACAAGGAUUUCUUCUUGUUUUUUACUUAUGAAAUAGUUAAUAAACCAUUUCACAAAAGGAAUGAAAUCCCGCGCAAGAUUCAUUUGAGUGUAGUACUCAUCUUUAAAUUGAGCUAAUUCGUGUUUUGAAUUUUUUUUUUAAAACCAUUCUCUGAAUCAAGUAUAUCUCUCAUGUUGAAACACAUCAUUGAUGAGUUGUCUCAUCUUGCUACCAGGGGAGUAAUCUAACAUUAUAAUUAGAAAUCCAUGUCUGACGGAAUAGGUGAUUCUACUCUUGGAGUAUUAGGUUUUUGAUAAAUUCCUUGGGGAAUUCUAUUUUCGCUAAGUCUUAUAUUCUCAACGACCUUUAUCUCUUCUCUUGUUUGAGAAGUAAAAGGUCUAGGUAAUUGGCUAGAAGCUGUGUAAAAUUCACUAACUGAGUGUCUAGCAGAUAGAGAUCUAGGUAUCCUAAUUAUUCUUUUAGGAGUGAAGUUUAUUUCUAGAUCUUCUUCAGUAGUUUGAAUUAUUUGAUCUAUAUCCCUAUUAAGGAUAGGUUCAGGAUCUAUUUCCUGGGGAAGAGACCAUGUCUCUGGGAAGUUUAUUUCAUCCCAUUUUAUCAAUCUAUUGGUUGCAACAAGGUUCAGGAUCUAUUUCCUGGGGAAGAGACCAUGUCUCUGGGAAGUUUAUUUCAUCCCAUUUUAUCAAUCUAUUGGUUGCAACAUUGGAAGUUAACAAAUUGGUUUGAACCAAAGUAGUAGUUCCAUGGAACGCUAAUUGUUUUUCUUUGGGAUUAAGCAUAGUAAGAACCUUAUAGUAGAUUCUAUAGCAUAUUGCUAUGAUCUCACUUCCAGGUUUGAAAUUGUAACCAUCAGUAUGAACAGUUAACUGAAUAACGUCUAAUAAAUUCUUAUCAGAUAAAGAUAGAGUUAUAUUUGGUGAGACAUCAAAGCACACUGGUCCAUGACACAUACUUGUCUCUACCAUAGCGGUUAAAGAUUGUUUGAAAUCCUUACAUCUACCAUCUCUAACAUAAGCCAUUAUGCUAGAAUUUAAACCUAAUAAUGUUAACGGUUUUAGAGCAAUUUGAACCAAUACAAUAUGGAUAAAAUUAUAACUUUUAAAAGGUUUCAAAUCUUUUUUAGUUAAUAGUUUGAUUGUCUAUUUUUCUUUAGAAAUUUGGAUUGUUUGCUCUGGAGUUUUAACAGCAAAACGAGCAAAAACAUCUAUCUUACCAAAUCUAUAAAUUUGAUUAGGAGGAACGGAGGGUAUAACCCAUCUGUUGAGUUUAUCCAGAUUUCUUGGAUAGUCUACAAGUUCUUCAUUUUUGAUCAAAUUAUUUUGAUGAUUAUCAUCAUCAGAAUCCAUAAAAGAAACAGGCUAAGAAUGUUGUGAUUGGUUGAUACACAAAGCUAAAUCUAAAUAGAUAACUUGGAAAAGUUCUUCAUUUUUGAUCAAAUUAUUUUGAUGAUUAUCAUCAUCAGAAUCCAUAAAAGAAACAGGCUAAGAAUGUUGUGAUUGGUUGAUACACAAAGCUAAAUCUAAAUAGAUAACUUGGACUCAUAAAAUAAUAUUAACCGAAACAACAACCUAUUAAUAGUCAUCUAGGCAAACAACGAAUUGUUUAACUAUCAACCCAAAGGGAUAGAAGGAUUUCUCCCAAAUCAAAGAUGUCGAAAUGUUUUCAGCAAAAUUUUUCCUUUUUAGAAUCAUCAACAACUCCCUUCCCCGGGGAAAAGAUGUACCUAACAGAAAACACUAAAAACGUUUUUUCUUUUAAAAACACCUUUAAAAGGUUGUUUGGUUAUCUUUUAUUAAAAAGUAAUGAGGAAAAGUUACCUACUUAGUUUUAUCUAAGCGUAAUCAACCUAUCACAACAUAAGUUUAGCCACAAAUUAUCAUAACAAUUUGUGUAAUGAAAAACUUACCGUAGAUUUGGCAACCAGGUGAUGAUACCACAAUUAUAAAUAUAUAAUGAAGUUGCAUGUCUCGAAUAUAUUCAUGGGGAUAACACCAAUACAAUUUUGUUACUUGUCUCUUACGCUUUCGUUUCAUUUAUUAUUGUUUUUCGGAUCUCCUUCAUAAUUGAACAUCUUUGGAUUAAGUGUUGAAUCCAUUUAUUUUAGCAUGCAUAAUUGGAUUGUUUAUAUUUGAGUAUGACCAUUAUGUUUUAAGAUAAUUGCUUGAUUUAAUGCAAAAAUAACCAUAUUUGAGGUUUGUUCAAGUUAUAUGGGAAGUUAAAUCUCAAACUAUUUUGAAAAAAAGUUGAAAAAAUUGAGAUUUGUUGUGUAUGUCUCGAGUCACUCACAAUCUAUGACUCGAAUCAAAUUAAACGGAGGAGAACAAGAUGAUUUUGAUGGUUGUGACUCGAAUCACAGUUUACACAUGAUUGGAAUCAUGCAACACAAUGACUCGAAUAAGAAAUUGCACAUGAUUCGCAUCACACAUCUCAUGUUAGUCACUAGCUCAUUUGAUUCGAAUCACACUUUCUACAUGACUCGAAUCAAAAAGUUUUUCAUCUUUUCUUGUUUGGUUCUGAUCAAUUUUAUUUGAGUCGAGCUUUGUACAUGACUCGAAUCACGAUCCUUCAUGACUCAGAUCAGAGCUACAAUAUGGCUCGAAUCACAUGAAAUGGGUCUCAAAUCAACAAAUGCUCUUGACUCAAAUCUAACAACUAUUUUCACCUAUUUUUUGUAUAUAAUCUCCAACACAUAUAAAUUAUUUUUGUCAUCCCAUUUUUAUCAAGAAAACUUAUAACCAACAUUAUGAUUUUGUGAAAUCAACAACCUCCAUUUUUGAAAACUCAAAAAUCUCUUGCAAACAAAAUUUCUUUAAUCUUCACCCCCCAGUUUGAUAUUUGAUCUUGAUCAUGGAGAUUUGUAAUUAUUGAUGGAGACUUGUCUUAAAACUAACAUUUCUUGAUGUUUUGGUAAAUAUUUUCAAGAAGCUUGUAAGAUUGUUGUUGUUGCGACUAGUGGUGACAAAUUCUAGUGAAAAGAAUGACGUUCUUCUCUCCAGGUUGACUUUGAUAGUGUUGUGUCGAAGCCUACAGACAUGAUAAAAGUUCUUCUUAAUCUUCGAAAUGUUCAUCACUCAAAAAAUCAGUUGGACCAAGGGUGAUUUCCACACACAUAUCCUUGUAGCAGUUUGGUGAAGCUGGAAGAAUCAAGAAGCGAGAAUCAAGUAAAGAUUUCGCAAAGAGUUCGGCGUCAAGGUUGUAUACAAGUCAAGAUCUAGAUAAGAGAUUUAUUUUUCUCAGCAUUAUUGUGGAUUAGUGAUUGUAUGAACUCAUGUAAUAUUUGUUAAAACAUAGUGGAAGAAAAACUUCCACUAUGUGUUAUGUUAUCUUUAAAUUUAAAUAAAUAUAUAUAUAUAUAUAUAUAUAUCAUUCUUUAAAAUAGGCAGACAAUCAAUUUUUCAGAUUAGUAGAUGAUUCCUCAAUAGAGGAAGAAUUAGGCAAGUUAAAGCACGACGAAACUUUAGCCAACUGAAUAUUCUCAAGAAUAUUGGGAUCUAUUCAGUUGCGAAAGUUCUAGACUUUGCAAAAGGCAUUAUAGAACUAGAUGAUCGGGUUUUCUUGCCACAUACCAUGAUUGUAGCAUCACUAAUUGCACCCAUGAACAAUGCCAACAGAUUACGAUGGGGGAGUAGAAGACCAGGACCAAACGUGGGAGGGGCAUGUAUUCCAAAUCUAGAGGGAACUAUAACCACGACCCACAUAUAUAGCAUAAAAAGACAAAGUAUUCUUUAGAUUACAAUUUAUGGCAUUCAAGAAAUUAAUCAAAUUUAAUUUAUGUUAGAUGAUAGUACCGAUCUAGAAGGGGGUUAAAUAUAUCAGUUUUGAAAUUUAGCGCUUUUUAACAAUGUUGUCAACGGUUGCGGAAGAACCCUAGAUUAUAAUCGUUUAAACGACCCGUUAAUGGAAAGAUCGGAUAUGCGUGAAACUGAAUGCAAUAGCUAAGAUAGAGAUAAUCAAGCACUAUCUAAAUCAAUCGAUUAACCACUACAAUCCUUGAUAUCUUACCUCUAAUAAUGCUUAAACACAAUAAGAGAUCAAGUAAAAUAUUACUAGAUUUAUGUGAGAUUAAUUUUAUCGAACACUUGGUGUGCACUCCACACCAAGUUUCAAUUUCACUUAGAUUGAAUGUGCAGAAUUUUAUUCAGUUGCAAUCAAAUUGAUUGCACCAAUUUAUCGAACAGUUACUAUGCAUAACAAUCUAGCGAUAAUGAUUUUACUAUUAAUUUCAUAUAAAACGUAAUUAAUGCAUAAUUUAAAGAGUUAAGAGAUAGAGAGAACAAGACUGGAUUUAUUGAGGCAGUUCUCCUAUCAUCCUCGCUUAGGGUACGUCUGCCCUCAAUUCUAAAUCUAGAAUUGUGUUUUUUUUAUUAACAUGUUGCAAAGUCAAUACAAGAGAACAAAUGAUCACCACCAAUCAACCCCUAGAGUUGUUGCAGAUCUUAUUCUAUUCUCUCCCCUUGAUUCGAGUUGAACCAAGUCCUUCAAGCGCUUCGAAGAAACCUCCGGUUACCGCUACCUUAUUGCAAGAACGCCAUGUUCCUCAAAACUUCAACUCGACUGAUUUCGAACGCAAGUUGCUUGAACCCUAAGCUUUCUUCACAAUCCUCCGGUUACCGUUACUUGUUUGACCGAACCCACCGUUCUUCAAACUUUCCACUCGGCUGAAUCUACAAAGCAAAGGUUAGUGCAAAAACCCCGAAUUCUUGGAGGACAAACCCCCAAUGGUUUUAUUCAAGAAAAACCCACAUAAAGCUUCAACCCAAACUAAGAUAAUCCAAUCUUAUUUGGACGUUAUCACAACAGCAAUGCACAAUGCUCAAUAAAGAUUAUUAUGUGCUAUUAUUGAGAAAUGCCAUGAAAAAUGAAGAUGAUGAGCAUUUUGGUGUAUAUCUUUCACUUUUCUUAUUGAAUGUUGAAGAAGAGACUCUAGAAUAUUUAUAUGAUGCAUGGACCAACUAACAGACAUAACAUAAUUAAUUUGCAAAAUUACACAGCAGAAAAUUAAGUGUAAGCAGCGGCCGCUCGACCUGUAUGGACCCGAGGCAAAAUUAUUCAAGUAAAAUAGGUGAUGAGUCAACUCAAACAAAGUUUUUCCAGGGUUAAGUCGACCUAUGACUCGACCUGUUCAGACCCGUGACUACAUGGCUCAAAUGAAAAUAGGCAUUGAGUCGACGCAACAUGUGGAUGAGUCGACUCAUUCAGUUUUCCCAGGAUUAAGUCGACCUGUGGCUCGACCUGUUCAGAGUCGAGAUUUACGCUCUGAGUCAUUGAGUUGACCUGUGACUCGACCUGUUCAGAUCCGAGAGUUAUGCUUCGAGUCAUGAGUCGACUCACAGGUCUUAAACUCCCAAAAAUGAGUUUUGAGAUAUAUUUUGACCAAUUUAAACUGAUCUCUUAUGAACCUAGGAUAUUUACUAUGAUCAAGUGCAUGAUUCACAUCUAUGAUAUGCUCCUAUAUGUCUGGACACGUUGAACUUAUAUUUUGAACAUGUUAGAGGAUGAAUGCAUUCUAUGAUAUGAUGAUACUAUCAAAAGUACACGUUAUGGGAGAUUAGAAAGGUUUGACAUCAUUAAAAUAAGGACUGAGCAUAUUUUCCCUCACACUUUACACGCUUCUAUUUAUAUAUAUUAAAUCCAGUGCAUCAAACUAUCUUGCGACACUUCAACUUCUUCUAUGUCACAUCAUUUAUUUUUCUACGUGACAUCAUUAAAAUUUUAGCAACAAUAUAAACACUUGAAAAAUAUUUUUAAUGUUAAAGUAUAUAUUCCACAAUUUUCAGGGCUAAAUUACUCUCAAUUGAUUAAAAAUAUAAUAGAGAAUGCAACACUCUUUAUCGAAUCUAUAUAUUUCUUCUCUAUAUUUUUCUUAUCAUAUUAGACAAAUAAAUUAAAGACAAGCAACAAAAUUCUCAAUUUCUCAUAUAUAACAAAAAUUUGACAUCAUGGACAUAGAUUUAUAAAGCUAUUGAAUGCUUUAUUCGAUAAUAAUUGAAAAUAAAGUUUAAUUUUUAUUUAAGGCUAAAAAUAAAUAUAUGUCUUAUAAUUAAAUGUUUAAAAGAGAGACAAAUAUUAAAAAUAUAUUAGAAUAAAAAAAAUCAUUUGGGAUAUUUUUUAAAAUCAUUUAAAAUUGCAAAAUAAAAUCUUGUAUGUCACUUUCAACUUACAAACAUACAUUUUUUUAUUCGUAAUUAAUUCAUAUUAUUGUCAAAUUAUUUUAUAAUAAAUUAUUAUAAUAUAAAUUUUGUUUUCAUAUUUAUAAAAUAAAUUUUUUUAACAUAAUUAAAACUCAAUUUAAAAUAAAUAAAAAUUAAUUAUCAGUCGCGUAUCGCGUGGGUAUUAAUCUAGUUAACUUAAUUAUGUUACUUUCUUUUUAUACAUUUUUUGCACAUAUGUACUUAACAUUCUUUGGAGUGGUUAAAGAACCUGCAUACGUAAUAUAAUAUUACCCCCUUAGUGAAUUGUAUGAUGGAGAAGAGAAUCAUAGUUUAUAUCUAUCACUUUAAUAUCGCCUAAAUUUUACAUUCAAACAAAACAUUUGUAACGCCCAAUGGGACACUGCUAUAAAUAUAACUUGAAAAUUUUGUUCGCCAGGUUAAGACUAUGCUUGGCAUAUAUACCUACAAUUUGGAAAAUAAUAUCAACACGAUGGAUCAACCAUCACCAUCAUUUACAAGUAGUUAAGCCAACAAAGUGAUAUGGUUGAGAGAUGUUUUGGGAUUUAACUUAGGCAUGUGGAUAUGCUUGUAUAGAAGAAGCCUUGUCUUGAAUGGUUUAACAUUUUGGUACUUAUUUCCAUAGGUUCUCUAUGAAGCCUUGUAUAAUAAUAAGUGUUGCUUUUGUCUUUAGGUGGAAACUAUACAACACUUAUUGUUUGGUUGUGAUACAUUAAAGACCAUUAGGAGGAAUGUGCUAAAUUGGAAAGAAGAAAUGGAGUGGAUUACCAGGAAUAGCAAAGGCAAAGGGUGGAGAGCUCAGUUUCUAAAAGUUGUUGCAGUUGAAACCGUUUAUGAAAUUUUGAGGUAUAGGAACGACAAAAGUUAAGGAACCAAUGUAAUUAAUACAAACAUAUAGGAAAAUAUUACGUAUGCUCUAGUGUAUAGAGAUUGGACAAGUCAUAAAGUUAAAAAAAUAUAUAUACUUAGGUUGAUGAUACCCUAAUUGGGGUCUUUUUCUGGUCCAUUAGUCAUUUGGGUGUAGGUGGAUCUUUUGAUCGCUAGUUUGUAGUCGAUUUUUGAAUUAAUCAAAGUGUUUUAUUGAUUCAAACCAAAUACUAACCUAACUUUAAAGAGUUAAGGAAUUAAAAAAGUCAAGAUUCAAAUUCUAUAAAAAAACAUUAUACUAGUAUUACCUCCAUCUCAAAAUAAGUUUCACGGUACACACUUUCACACAUAUUAAAAAAAUUGUGAUAAAUGGUGUACCUUUCACACAUAUUAAAAAAAUUGUGAUAAAUGAAUAAGAAAGUAAAAAUACUUGCAUAGGAAUACAUUUAUAUCUAUAUUCUUAUAAACAACCAACAGGGAGAUAGAAAAUUUUAAAAUAUAUUUUAAAUAUAAUUUCUUUUUAAUUGGAGUCAAGGGGUAUGAGUGAUAAUGAAGGAGAGAGAAUUUUUUAUUUUUAUUUUUUAAUUAUAAAAAAAGGGAUUAAUUACUAUGCACUGUCAGGAUAAAAAGAUUUACACGGUCGAUUCAUCACCAUCACUCGUUUGCAUUACUUUAUAAAAUUUUAAAAUAAAAGUCAAAUAUAUUUCAAUAUCCAACGUAUAGGAUUAACUGACGGUGUAAAAUCAUUUUACAUUGUUAAUGUAUUUCAAUUAUAUCCAUAAAAAAAUUGUGAUUUGUUGCUUAUAAUAUUACGUGAUUUGUUCAAUUCUAUUCAAUAUUUUUUCAUAAAAAAAUAAAAAUAAUUUUAUUAAAUUAUUCUUAUUAUUUAUUGGAAUAUUUGAAUUAUGCAAGGUGAGAAAAAUAAUAAAUUAAUUAUAUAAUUGGAAAAUAAAAAUAAAAUAAAAAUGCAAUGUAAACUAAAAACGAUACUUAUAUUUCAUAAAUAAUUUUAAAAAAUAUGACAUAUAUUUUGAGGGAAAAAAAGGAGUAACAAUUAACAUUAUAACCCGUUAUUAAAAUUAAAUUCAAACAACCGCAAUUCAAAUGCAGCAAUGUUUUAUAUGAAAAACAGAUUAACAUGUUAUAAUGUCGUUGAGUUAGUUAUAUAUAUCUUCAUGUCUUCAUGUAUAAUGCAAAGAGCAUGGCCUAACAAGCGACAUGAUAUGCAAUAGUUUCAAGCAUGUCUCCUAUGAAGGCAAAUAUAAUAAGAAGAAAUCAACUCAAAUGAAACAUAAAAUCUCAAAAAAGGCUAAUUGGGAUUGAGGAAAGGAACACUAAAACAGUUUCAUGGAAUUAUAUACCACAAGCAUUCUCGCACACAUCUUAACAUUCAUACUAUAUUAAUUUAAUGAUUGUGAGAAGAACCAUAAAGCGGCAUUCCCAUAUGUAAACGAUGAUGUAAUUUGACUUCAUAUAUGCACAAAGGAAAAUGUAAGCUUCUAGGCUAUAGAUAUGGGUCUUCAGCCUAAUUAAUAUGUUUUUAAAUUUUAUAUUAAUUAAUUUUUAUAAAUUUCAAAACAAAAAUUAAGAAAAUUACUAUAGGAUAAAAUGAUCUGAAUAAAAAAAAAUUAAAUCUUAUGCAAAGUCAUCAAAAAGUCUCACGUAUUACACCCCUAUUUAAAACAAAACAUAAGGGGACAAACCAUAAUUUAACCUUAAUUAAAUUAUAAGAAUUAAAAAUAAUGACAGUAUUAAUAUUAUUUUAUAAAUUUACUUCUAUGAAAAGUUAAAUUAAAUUUCUAUCAUAUUAUUUGCUGAUUAUUACAAAAAGAAUCAAUUAAAUAUAUGUUAAUAAAUAAUAAUUAAUGGAAUUGAAAAUUUUAAAAAUGAAUUUUUAAAAAACAGCCAUAAAAGAAAUAUAGGAGAAUUUUAUUAAGUGCUUAUUGUGAAUUAUUUCCAUGGGUUUUUUGUGUUUAUACGGUGAAACUCUGUUUUUCAUAGGACAACUGUCGAAUAUGAUGUCCUAGACAAUUGAUUUGACAAAUUAAAUCAGAAACACUACGAUAGUAAAUAUUAGAGCAGUAAAUAACACGAUAGUUGUUUAUUCAGUUUGAUGAAAUCAUACUUACGUCUGGGGGCUGAGUCCACAACCUAAGAAAGGAAAUUUACUAUUAAUAGUUUAGUACAAUUAAUCUUACAAGCAACAACAAAUUAUAUGUUGUUCAAUGCCUCUUUUUAACGUUAUCCGAUGAAUUUCUAUUUAGGGUUCCACCUAAACAUGAGAACCUAGCCACUUUCUUCUCAAUCACACAACCUAUGAUUGGAGAUUACAACUCCAUAAUCAAUGUUGAAUACUACCAUUCAACUAUAGAUAAGCCUUUUAUAUCAAGUUACUGAAACAUGUACAUACAGCAAUAAUAAGUACUCGAAAUAAACAUAUCACUCUAAAAUCCUCAAUGUACUACUUGGCUUCCAAUGUAGGGUUUGAGCUCCUUAUAUAGCAUAAUAAAUUUAGACUUUUCUUCAUGGAUUUGAGAUUUGAUUUCGUCCAGAAUUAAUAUAGAAUUUGUUGGAUAUUAUUUAUUCCUUAAAUAUCUCCAACAACAUAUGAUUUGUUUUGAUAUAAAUUCAAAUUUAAAUCUUCAUUUAAAUCUAAAUCAAUCUUCAUCCCGCUGUCAAACAAAUCACAUAAUCAUAUUGCUAAAUAAAAGAAUUAAAAUAUAACAUAAUUAUCUCAAAUGAUUCUUUCAAAAUGUACAAAUCUCGUGCUUGUUGAGCAAGACCCAGAUGACGUUCCAAAAUGCUAGAGCAUCACGUCCAUCAUGUGUCCCUUCUGCACCUCCAUACAGCUUAAACAAGCUAGAUAAUUUUGAAUAAUUUAAAUACUUCUCCAUGUUAUUGUUUUGCAAAAUGCAACAAAUCCAAAGGUCCAAUCCAAUAGGAACUACAAUCUCCCCCUUUGGUAAAAUGUGACAAAACAACUCUUCAAGAUAUAACACUUAUUCAUACUAGAUUAAGUGACAACCAGUAGGACUAGUGGACUAUCAGAGCAUACAAACAGUAAUAACAACCAUCUUCAAAUUAUCAGAGUUAGUCACUAGCAUCAGUAGAAGUCAAUAGCAUUAACAUUCAGAUGCUUACACAUAAUUCAUUUAGUUGCUCCAAACCAAACAGAUAGUUAUGCAAUCAUUCACAGACUUAGUUAUACAUGAAUCUAGUUAGCUCAUAGUUAGUAGCAUACAAUCCUACUAACUAACAUAUAUCAGCAUGCAAUCGUUCACAUCUUAGUCAUGCACACACAAGUAGUUAGUAGUUGAUAUCAGAAUAUGCAAGGAAUUCUACUAACAUAGAUCUGUUUUCACAUAUACAAGGGCUAGAUGUCUUAUCUUAUGCUCUAGUAUGGAGCACACCAUUAUCACUCAUUGGAUAUGGUUAACACUAGACAAAAACAUGUGUUACCUCAACAUUCAGCUCAUAGCAACACUAGUACUCCCCCUUUUUGUCAUAAUUUGGAAAAGGGUUAGUAUCAAAUAACACUUAGAUGUCAUUCAUGCAGAGGUUAGUAUGUUAACACAUUCACAACCAAAAACAUGAGAAAACAACCAGAAAAGCAUCCAGAGAUACACAAGCAUUAAACUUGUUUUAUUGUUCAAAUAGGCUAUAAAGCCAUUACAAAUAAAAAACACCUAGAUACAAGGGCCACAACAACUAAAAUAGAACUAGUAAAUCUUCAAGAAGAAAUCUACAAACUUCAGCUCCUUAGAUCAAAAGCCAAUUUAGGUUGUUCUCAUGUGAUUCAGAAUUACUUGAGUCACUUGAUUCCAUUAGCUCUGCAACUGCAUCCUAUAUCCUCGUUAACUUCUCAGGAUGCAUAUUUGAGAUCAUUAUCUUCUUAUGGUCGGAUGUUCCUCCAGAAACCUUAAUAAUGGUGAUGUUGUUCCUAACAACUCCAACUUUCUUGGCCUUAUUUAACCAGGACUCCAGCUUAUCCGCGACAUCCUUUGGAACCUCAAUUUCAUUGACAGGUACGCUCCUAGACGAAUCAUCAGAAUUUUGAUUUAGAGAGAUUUGUAAGAUGAUAAUAGGGUAAAGCAAGACGCUUGUAUUUCUUGCUUGUAAUGAUAUCCCAGUUGUGUCACACUUGAGAUAACAAAAUAAAUCGCGUUAAUUUUUGUGCCAAAGUGGUCUUAGGGGACAAAAACACUUUUUCUCCUUUGGCACAACUCCCUAGCAUGAAUUGCUAUUGAAUCUCACAAAUCCAGCCCCUUUUUUAAAGUUUACUGCAUCUAAUGCCUAAAAAAUGUUAGAGACAAAUGUCAUGACAUCUUGUCCCGCAUUACACUUCUUCAACAUCUACUUCAUCCAGAGUAAUUUCUUACCAUUGCUCUCAGCGGUAGAGAACUUAUCUUCAUCAAAAGACAAGGUAGUAAUGAUUUUCAACUUGCUGACCCAUAUGUUGUUGACAAGAGAGAAGCAUCUUUCGCUAUCAUCAUCACCAGUGAAACUUAACAUGAGCUUCUCUUUGUCUGUCACACAUACUUUCUUUAGUAGUUGAAUCACUUCUUCAAAUGUCAAAAUUUAUUUUGACAACCAUAUCCCCUUUAAUAUUCUACAUCCAGUAUUUUCUGAAUAAUGAACAUACUGACCAAGAUAUUUGCUUCAACAUUUGACUCUAAUAGAAACAUUCUAGAUUAUUCACAAUAACCAAAAAAUGUGUGUCCAUCCUUCUUCUGAGUUGCGGACUUAGUUACCACUAUGAUACUUAAGAUGUCUGUCACAUUUUGGAAAACAUAUUCCUUAUCAUCAGUAUCAUCCUUCAUUAGCUUUGAUAGAAAUUCAGGAAGAUUCCCAACAUCUUCUAUCAAGCUUAACUCAAGGUCAAAUUGCAUCUAAUGGACAACAUCAUUGUCUUACAUAAUCAACCGAACAUCCUCUUCAGAGAUCCAAGCUUCAUUUGGCAACAUCUUUUCAUGAGCUAAUCACAUUUGACAUAAAUACUUAAGCACAAUAUCCUCCUUAAGGAGAGACACGUUACCAAGAUUAGUGUAACACCCCGAUUUUAUUUUAUUAAUCUAUUUAAAUUAUUAGACUUAAUCGAGUAUAUAUAUAUAUAUAAUAUAUAUAUAUAUAUAUAUAUAUAUAAUAUAUAUAAUAUAUAUAGUGAAAAUUAUGUAUGAAUGUGAUUCCUUUGUUUUGGUCAAAAAGGUUUGGACAAAAUCCUUGAGACGAUUGAUUGUUGUAUUACUUUAAUUUUGAUGAAUAUGAUAGGAAAAUUUAUGAUUGCUAUGAAUUGUAUUCCUUGAUGCCUUUAUUGAAAAAUUUCUAUAAUCUAAUCCUUUGGGAUUUUUGUGAUGUAGGGUGCUUAUACUUAUCAAUAUUAAUUUAUAUUGAUUUUUAUUGUCUUUUUGAAACUCGAAACCAUUCAAUUUAGAAAGAGUUUUUAUAUUUCAAAAAUAAGUUAUGUACUUUCUAUGUUGCCCCAAAUUCUUGGGUAAUUCAUGCAAAAGUAGGAUUUGGUGUUGCUCUUUACCAUAUUCAUUAAAUUUGUAUUAAAAUAGGCGAUCGAAUAAUUAUAUGUUAAAAAUUCUAAUCUGAUUAUAACUCUUGUAUUAAAAUAGUUUAAAUAGAAGGAUGAUUCCCAUGUGUGCUAGUGUUCGAAAUGAAAUUGGUUGUUCUUAGUGUUGAAUGUGGUUCUUAUUGUUGGUGGUAUUUUUAUGCGCACACAUUUUUAUAGACUAGUAUGUUUUCUAAACUAAGUAAUGGAACCUCUAAAAUAUUAGUAGACUCUAAUUUUGAUGUGCAAAAUCUACAGCUUCAUCUUUAGUUUAGAGACAUUUGCAUUGAGUCUUAAUGAUAAUUUUUAAUUUCUGGAAAUAAAUUUUUAUAGAAAGAUGAGACCACGGCACGUACAAAAUAUCAUCAUUGGCUUAUUUAAAAACUUGUGACAGUUUGAACUAACAAAACUUCAUGAAAAUAUCUUUUGCUUUGAUUCAUCGAGUUUUUUAUCAUUGUGAAAUAUCAUUAAAUAGUUGCGACUAUAAUAAAAAUGCAGUAAAGAAUGAAACUAAGAAAUUUAAAAUAUCAUUGCGGCGGCGCAGCUGUACGGCUGCCGGUCUGGUGGGUUCGGCCGGGUUGUCGUUGAUUUCGGUAAUUUCCAAAUUCAAGGAUUAGUUCGAUGAUUUUCUAAAACAUUUUGGUGUCGUUGAUCCUUGUGACCUUUGAGUUAUUUUUAAGUAAUUUUGAGUCAAGUUGCAUGCCUUUAGAGUUUAAUAAAGUUAUCACAUGUGAAAUUUGUCAUUAUAGCAUGUUUGAACACUUUUGAAUACUUUUGAAUACUCUAGAGUCAUUUUUGAGAUUUAAUAAUUGUUUAGAGUUUGUUGAGAAUCCCGUAGAUUAUAUAUAUAUAUAUAUAUAUAUAUAUAUAUAUAUAUAUAUAUAUAUAUAUAUAUAUAAUAUAUAUAUAUAUAUAUAUAUAUAUAUAUAUGAAUUAGUAUAACUUUGAUGAGCUAUGAGUAUAUAAUAAAACGAUAAAUAACUAUGUUUAAAUGUUUUGAGUAUGUUGAUAAAAAUUUUAGCUGAUUGAGUAAUAAUACACAUUUACUUAGUUUUUGAUAAUUUUUUAGUUACAAUAUAAUUAUUAAAUUAAUUAUUGAAUAUUUUGAGUUGAGUAAUUCAGAGGAAUUAUAGUAAGGCUUGAUAAUUGGCGAACUUGUGGUUCAAGAGAGGAACAUGUUGAGUAUAAAAUUUCGAGGAUGAUUUUGAUGAUUAUUUGUGUUGUCUUAUUGUUUUUUUGCCAUUAACUAUGCGCGCGCGGCGCUCACACACACACACACACACCCAUUCACAUAUAUAUAUAUAUAAUAUAUAUAUUAUAUAUAUAAAUAUAUAUAUAUAUAUAUAUAUUAUAUAUAUAUAUAUAUAUAUAUAUAUAUAUAUAUAUAUAUAUAUAUAUAUAUAUAUAUAUAUAUAUAUAUAUAUAUAUAUAUAUAUAUAUAUAUAUAUAUAUAUAUAUAUAUAUAUAUAUAUAUAUAAUAUAUCUAUAUAUUAUAUAAUAUAUAUAUAUAUAUAUGGGAGUUAGGUAGGACUUGGUCCGGUGAGAUUAGGUUCAGAGAGGAACCAUGAUGGUUUCAUGUUCAGAGAAGGACACGGUUCAGAGAGGAACCGGAGACAGUGAUAAAUUAGUGACACACCUUUGAUACCCAAAACCACAGUACCACAUACAUAUUUAAGGAGAAGUUGGUGCAUUUCGCAUUUGCAUUAUAAAUUGUAUUGUUUUUAUUGAUGUUUGAUAAUGGUCUAUGUAUUCUUAUAAUUGUCUUGCUGUUUAGUUUCACCACUAACGUUUGUAAGGAUUAUUAUCACCCAUAUAUUUUUGUUUGUGUGUGACUUUUAUGCCCAUAUUGCAGAUACAUGUAACUUGUAGUCUUUUUGUGUCGGAGAAUGGCGGUCAUUGCCUUCUUCUUUGUUUUUCCAUUUGAUUUAGUACCAUUUGUGUUGCUUUGGUAUUGUGAAAUAGGGAUGGGACGUUGUUUCUUUUAUUUGGAUGGUUGUUGAGUUGUUUUUCGAAACUGAUAUUUUCAUUGAGUAAUUUUAUUUAUGACACCAUGUGAUGGUGUUUUUUAAUGUUUGAUAUUUCCAUUGCGAGUUAUUUAAAGUCAUAACGUGUGUUUUAUUUGAGAAUGUGUGACACCCUUGGGUGAAUUUAUACUCUGAAUUAUUGUACUAUUUUGUGGAUCGGGAAAUAGGUUGUUACAAUCAGCAUCCUUAAUAACCCCUUCAUUUCCUGGUUCAGACCUAUUAUGAACAUCCUUGUUCAUAAGAACAACAUCCUUAUAUGCACUGACAGAGUUCUUAAUAACAUUAUUAAUGUUGUUAAUCAGAUUAUUCUCCAUGAUGUUCUUCAUUAACCUGGAAAAAUAGGUUUUUUUCAACUUCCUCAUUUAAGUCCCUAUUGAGAGAGGCAAUAUGCACAUCCAUUUGAUAUAGUUUGAACUUCAGAAAAACUGACAAUAUUGGACUUAAUAUGAUGGUUCCAAUAAGGGAAAGAGAAUCAUGGACACUCUCAUCUUCAUCACCAAAUAUCAUAGAGUUUCUUGAUUUGAUAGCAACAACUUGCUCCAUAUCAAAAUUCUCUUCAAUAUGGGAAAACCAAUCCUUAGGAGUAGUCAAUCUAUACUCAUUUCUCUUUGUAUCACAUAUCAGAAGAAUGCUCUUAUUCUUAUCAUUUCUUCAUUCAGAGUCUGUUCAUGGUUAUCCAUACCACCAUCCUUAACUUUAGUUGCAUCAUCCUCAACAUCUUCAUGAACUUGAUCAUCAUUCUCCUUAUCCACUUGAGACUUUUUCAACAUGUUGGACAGAAUGUGUGGCACAUCACCAUAUGGACUACUCAAUCUGGUUUCCUCGAAGUCUUCUGCAUAAGACAUUAGAAUAUCAUGAUGAUUUAUCAUAGGAACAGACUUAAGAGGAACCUCACUCAUGCUUUCAACAGUAGCGAGACCAGGCUUAUUUGAUAUAUAUACCUUGUGACUAGGCUUGAGCACACCAGCUUCUGCUUCACCAAACAUCAUAUCAUGUUUUUGUUUAUUCACAAAUCUAAACACAAGAUAAGGAAUUAUGUCAUCUCCAUUGUUCUACGUCAACUUCUUCUUCUGAAUCACUGUAGGUUUUUCGAAAUUAGGAGGACCUCUAGACCAUCAUAAUUCCCUUUAAUAACCCAAUCCUCAUGAUAUCAUUCAGACAUCUGAGAAGGAUGUUGAGACAUCUUGGUUGUUCUUUAUUCAGGUAUAAUGACUUUAUCAAUCUUCUAGUCUUGCACACCAUUGAAGUCUUUCUUAAAUAUGACCUUCUUCAUAAGAACUUAUUUACCUUUGUUGUUGACAAAAUGUUUAGACUUGUUAAAGUGAUCAUGUUCCUCCUUUGAUCACACAAUUGAUUCAUAUUGGUAGAUAAGCCUUUUCUAAGUAGAAUCUCUUCUUGGCCAAAAUUAACCAAUUUCCCUGAGCCUUUAAUUCUUCCAUUUGCUCGAUUUGCAUGAGUUGUCUUAUCUUUAGCCAUGUGCCUGGAACUUGCACUAUUAAAUUACCAACAUUUACUUGAGGAACUUUUGUGUUCUAUGUGUGUUAUGAGCCAGUUUAUGUAGCAUUGUAUUUCCAUUUCUUCUUAACAUGGACUUACUUGCGUCCUCUAAUAUUUAACUUAAGUCAUUCUAAACAAUAAGGCCUUGUAUGUCCAUAUUUACCACAAUUGUGACAUAUCAGAGCUUGUUUCUUGUUGAUGGGGUGACACAUGUAAAGCACGGUGCUGUGACAUGUGAUCCAUCCUCAGAACCCCAGUCUUCUCUUCAGGAAUAACAACCUUCAUUGGGAUAAUCUUCUUGUUUUUAUCUUUCAUGCUCGUCCCAACAUUGAUUCCCUUCAUAUCUAUAGACAUCUCACCAAAAUUUAUUUUUUUCAUCAAGUAAAUUUAAACUAUUUAUGAAUUUACUUUCAGAAUGAGACAUGUUUUCUAGUUGGUAGUUUAGUGAUGAAAUCUUCUUCUCUACACCGGUGAUUGUUGAGGCAAGCUUUUAUGUUUCCUCCUGAAGCACUCCUAUGGUUUUCUCCUAAUUAUCUAUGGUUAAACAUACUUUUUCCCAUUUAGAGACUAAGAGCCUGUAUGUAUCAAGAUCUUCUUCUUUAGUAUUGGAUUCACCAACAGAUUCACAUCGACCAGAAUAAGCCAUCCCAGUUUUGGUAGUUUCUUACUCACUUUUAGAAUCAGACCACGUGGCGGAAAAAUCCCUUUUUUCGUUUCUUUAUAAAUGUAGGACAUUCUUCUUUAAUGUGUCCAAAUCAUUCACACUUAAAGCAUUGAGUACCCUUGUCAUCAUUAGGUUUGUCUUCACUUCCGCCUUUGAUCUGGGGACUGAUGUGUCGGAACAAGAUUCACUACAACAAAAAUGAGUUUAGGCAACAACCAGAAACCGUGGCCAUAUACAUGAAAACCGUAGCGUAAGACGUUAGACUAUGGUUAUUCAGGCGUGGAAUAAGCCGCUGUUGCCUAUUCCAAUAGUCUACGAUUUUUGCAUUUUAGCCAACUAAAAUGUAAAGCGUUGCCUAUAGUAUGUGAAUAGGCCGCACUUUUUGAACUAGUUUUGGACCACGGUUUUGAUUAAGCUACACAAAUCAAACCGUAGUCUAUUAGUUAUAGCAUAGUUUGUUUCCAACUUUAGUCCAUGCUAAACUGUUGCUUAGUCUUCAUACCACAACAUUUAUUAUAUUAAUUUUUUUUAAUUAAAAAUAUUUGUUUAAAUUUUAACAAUCACAAAUUUUAUCAACAUAAAUAUGUUAAAUUAAUGAUAAAUUUUACUGAAAAAUUACAUUAUCAAAAUGAUAAAAAAAAAGUUAAAAUAAUGAUAAAUUUACAUAAAGAAAUUAAAUAUACAAUAAUAAAUACCCUAACUUAUUAAAUUCUAAUCAAUUCUUUUUGCUUAAGGUUUGUUGUAUUUCUAUAUACAUAACGAUAGAGUCAACAAAACCAUGAAACAAAAAUAUAAAGAUAGUUAUAUUUGUGCUUUAGCUCUCAACUUCAUGUGGAUACGUAAUCCUAGCCUUAAUUUCAAUUGUCCCUACAAUAGAAAAAACAAAAAUUGUCCAUGCAAUCAAAAUUCCAACAUAACAUUAGAAGUAUUUUUCAAUACAAGAACAGUCGACAAUAAUAUUAUAACACUUAAGUAAAUUUCUCAGCCACACUUCACAAAUGGAAAACACCCCAUGAGUCCUAGCAAAUAAGUGAGAUUGCAUCAAAACCUUGAUAAUAAUUCAUUAAUAAGACAAGUUACCAUGAGAGGCUAGUUAUUCAGACAACAACCACCAUAAGUUGGAAGCCCAAAAGAACAAUGGCAGACAAAUAAUAAUAGUGUAAUAAAAUAAUCAACAUCUUCAUGAGUACUUACAAGUGCUUGAAAAAAUUAACCUUCUCCCAUCGAUUUUGAGAAGUCCGGCCAAAUUGUUUUAUUUGGAGUUCCAAAUAUUUUUAAAAUUCGGGAAGGAAAAAAAAAGUCAAUAUAGCAGGCAACAACCUUAAUAAAAUUGGUUAGACACAAGAAAACAAAAUUUAUAAGAGAAAAAUGAGAGCAUACAUUCUACCAAUUAAUUGACAUUUAACAUAUAAUUUAUACAGUUGAUCAAAUUCUGUUUUUUUCAUUGUAGACAAUAGUUCGCCCAUUAUACAACCUAGAGAUCAAGUAUCAAUAGUUAUUUAGUACUAUCUUGCCCAAAAUAAGAAGUUCAGCUUCCAUGAGAAACACAGAGAUAAUUCAAUUUCCUCUAUGAAAUUUAAUACUCAACCAGGGGACAACGAAGAACUACUAUAAGUCAGGACAACUAGUCAAAUUUUGCUAUUGGUCCAUAAACCUACUUAAUCUUAAGAAAUUUCUACAUCUUGAAUAGAGAGAUAAUUUAUUCAAAAUAGGGAAUGAUUCAAGACCAAACAUUUAAAAUCUAAAGUUUAAAAAAAAUAGAUUGAAAAAGAAAAAUACUAUUGAUUGAAGAUGGAGGAAUCUAACCUUCAAUAGACUGACCAUGAUAGUGCAUAAACCCUUAUAGAUCUUAGAUGGCAAGAGACAGAGACAACAACAUAACAAUUUCGUUUGCAUUUUCGACUUCCUUGCAGCUUAUGAGAAAUCAACCCUCUUUUGAAAUAUAUGAAAGACGAAAACAUAGAGGAUUGGCCCUUUGAUUAACUUAGUCUUCCUUGUUGCAAGUGAGAAGAAACAAUUUGGAAUUUAGGAUUUGGAUGUGAGAAGAAACAAUUUAGAAUUUAGGGUUUGGAUGAGAAGACAACACAAGACAUGUUUUGGGCUUUGAAGAGAGAUAUUUUUGUUUGAAAAAAAAAUAUGAACACAAUACUUUAUAUUGUUAUAAAUUUUUUACUAAAAGUAAUUUUUAAUUAUAUUAAAUAAAAUAUAAUAAUUUUUACACAUGAUCAAAUCAAAUCAUAUCAUUUUAAUAUUUGUGAGAUAUUCUAGAUGGGUUUAAUGGUGAUGCUCUUACCGUGUAAAUUUUUUUUACAUUAUAUUUAUCUUUUUUCUCAUUUUAUAUUUGUUUAAAUAUGAUUUUUGUUCUCGUAUAUUUAUCUCUUUGAAUGAAUUAUUUUUUAAAGUAUUAAAUAAAAAGAAUGGUUUUUUUAUAUUGUAAAAAAAAUUCAUAUCAGUCAAAAGUAAAAACAUUUAUUUAUAUCUUUUUAUUUUUACAUUGUAACAAAUAUUUUCUAAUUUUUCUAAAACAUCUUCAAAUUAGUAAGAGAAGUCUUCACAUUCUAAAAAAAAAAAAUUGUACUGAAUAUAACUUUAAUUUUAGUAAAUUUGUAUUUUUUAUUUUUUCCUUGUAAAAAAAUGUGAAAGAUAUCCCAUUCAAUUGCAAAAAAUCUUAAAUUUCUAAUUUUAUUUUAUUUUGUACAGUUUUUUAUAUUUAUGACCAUAUAAAAAGUUAUUAUAGAUAUUAUUGAGAAAACUGAUCAAAUUUACAACAAAUUUUUAUUUAACUAUAAUUUUUAUCAGUUUUAAAAAGAUUAUAAAUAUUAUUGUCAAUUUUUUUUUUCUCUUUUACAAUUCUUAUCUAUUUUAGAAUAAAUUUGUCAUAUAAUUUUUAUUUCAUAAACUUUUUAAUAUUAAAAAAUUGAUUUUUUUUCAUACAUUUAAUUAAUCACGAACGUUACAUUUUUAAAUAUAUUUGAUUUAUUAUAAACACAUUUAAAGUUUUGAACAUGAAUAAUUGGAAUGUUUAACGAUGUAAUUUUUUUUGCUUUAAUGAUAAAUAACAAUAAAUGUAUUAUAAUAAAAUAGAAGUUAUGUGUAUGUGAGAGUGAAAAUAUUUCAUGAACAUUGAUUCAAUAUAUAUAUAUAUAUAUAUAUAUAUAUGUAUGUAUGUAUAUAUGAGUUUAUUUAUGUAGUUAAUGUACACUAGUUUGAAUCCCGAAAUGGAAAGACUUUUAAGUUUUUUAUUUUAAAUUCACAAGUUUUUUUUAUCAAAAUGUCAUCUUUAAUAUUAGAUUGCGCUUCUCAGAGGUUACCUUUAAGAUAAAAAAUUACCACACCUUCAAAACCAUGGUUCAAAGUAAAUAAGCGACAGUUUUAAUACACAACGGUUUUCACCAAAAAUCUAGAAAUUUAUCCACGUGUAAAAAACCGUAGUUUAUUACCCUUUAGGCAACGCUUUUUAAGUCGCUGCCUAUUCUUCCGUCGCCUAAAGCUAAAAAUGUUAUAGUGAUUUGUUCAUAUUCCUUGGAUUUUGAUGAUAAUAAAGUACUUAAAGAACAAGUGGGUAUACUAACAUAUGUUCAAGUGUGCAGGAUCACAAGCUUAGUAUUUGACUAUGAAUAUAUCAUGUUAAAAACAUAUGUGGAAGAAGCAAAGUUUAUCAGAUUCUGGAAGAUCAGAAUCUGAUGACUCUGAUUGAUCAGACUUUGAACAAGGUAGUUCUGCCUCUGAAGGUUCAGACUCUGAUCAUAGAUUUCAGCCGCUAGUGACAGCUUAGACUUUGAAGGAUAAAUGUGUCUCUGAUCUGUAUAAUGUACCAAAAGCAUACCAGUCUUGUCAAAGCUUCAAAUUUCUAAAGAGAGUCAACUAGAGUUUUAUUUUGCAAGGCUCAAGGAAUGGUGAUGUGACUUCUUAAGUAUGUUCUACCUUUUUGUAGAUACCUAGCACUUUGAAACAUACUGUGAACAAUACCUUUAUUUAGUGGACAAUGCUUCUAACCAGAUACAUUCUCCAACGCCUCUCUUAGCAUGCUUCUUCACUAAGUUAGAUCUUAUGCUCAACCCUCAAACAACUCUUUUAUCUGCCUCUAUAAAAGGAAGUUGGAGAUUUUAAGGAAGGUCACACCAAUACAAUACAACAACUUGAGCAUAAUUUUGAACUAUUUUUUAUAACUUAUAUUGCAUAAAGUCUUAAGAUGUAUUAUCUUUGUACAUCUUGGAAAUCUUAAGAGUUAAGAACCUUUGUGGUUGUUGUAAAACUAUUAUAUUUCUGAUUGAGUAUCAAAGUAUAGUCGUUAUCUAUUCUACUAAAUUAUUUUUUUAAAUUAGAGGAAGUCUCUUGCUAGUUUUCUUGAGCAAAGAAAAUCUAUUUCCUGUGUGCUUGAGCACUAAAGUCUCUUUCAGGUGUGAUUGAGCAAAGGAAGUUUGUUUCAGCUGUGCUUGAGCAUAAGUAUUUUUCUAGAUUGAUUGAGCAGUUGUAAUCAGGAUUGAUUAUAGUUAAAAACUCUUGUUGAGGCAAACGGGUUGGACUACUCUCACUUGAGGAGAGGAACCAGUAUAAAUCUUUGUGUGUUGCUUUGCUUAUUGUUUCUGAUACAUAAUCUUUCUGAUGCCAUUAAUUAACUCUCACAUCAGACUCUGAACCUUGUUCAGAUUCUUAAAUUGUUCUUAUCAAAAUCGAAAUGUUUUUGACAUGCAUAAUUCACCCCCCAUUCUUAUGUAUUUUUCUCACCUUCAUGAUGUCGAACACGGUGUCCUAGGCAACUGAUUCGAUAAGUUAAACCAGAAACACUACAAUAAAAAGUACUAGACAAUAGAGCAAAAAAGCAGUAAAUAACACGAUAGUUAUUUACCCAUUUCGGUGAAACCACACCUACGUCUUAGGGACUAGUCCACAACCCAAGAAAGGAAAUUCACUAUUAAUAAUUUAGUACACUUAGUCUUACAAGAAACAACAAAACUUGUGUCAUUCAAUGCCCCUUCCUAACACUACUCAAUGACUUUCUAUUUAGGGCUUCCUCUAAACAUGAGAACCUACUCACUUUCUUCUUAAUCACACAAUUUGUGAUUGGAAAUUACAACUCAAAAAUCAAUGUUGAAUACUGUAAGACCCCAAUUUUGAUCCUAAGAUCCCUCAUGGCAUCAUAACAUUGCAUUUGCAAAGUCUCAAGGAUCAUAAGCAUCUUGGUUCCCUUUACCUUUGGGUAGGACCUCUUGUGAGUGGUUUGAGAUCACCAAGCAUGCUUGAAUUGUAUAUUAUUGCUUUUCUUAUUUUGUUUACUAACCAAAAGCACAAAAAUAUGUCACAACAUCUUUUGUUUGUAGCUUGAGCAAUCACAAGGUCAAAAGCUUCAAGGAGAUCAUUGGUACAAAGAUAUGGUCAAAAGAAGAGGAAAGCAAGCAUGGUAAUAGUUCCCAAAGCUCCCCUCCAUCAAAUGAUCUUCCCUAGCAUCUGAAUUCAUCAUUUUGAUCAAAACAAGUCAAAGGGCUUGAGGUUUGUUCCCCAAAGAAACCCUAAUUCAUCUGUGCACCACAAUGCCUUGCUCUUGAAGCAACCUCAGCCCAUGAUCAAAUACAAUAAAGGAAAGUUCUUUAACUUAUCAUUUCAUGCAUAUUUGAACUUAUUUGAGUGUCCUCAAUCAUCAAUUCAUCAAGAUAUGAGUCAUGGACUUGAGAAGUUGAUCAGUCAAUUCAUCUAAUUAUUUUGAAAUGCACUGAGACCUAACUUCUUAUGCGUUGGUCAAAUGGAGAUGAUCCCAAAAUAAAAAAUUUUCUUAAGGACAAUAUGAACAAUUCUAAUGUUUGUCAAAAAUUGAUUUGAAGCUUGGAAGGUCAUCUCCCAUUCCAAGACAUUAUAGGUCAUUUUGACUGAAACCCUAAUUUUGGGUCAACUUCCCAAGGACAUAACUCAUUCAUUGUUUAUGAUUUUGAGAUGGAAUCAAAUUAGUUGGAAAUCUUACGUUGUCUAAUUCAAAUGUUAUGUUGAACAAAAUUUCAAAAUCUCAAAGGAAAUACAUGUGAUAAUGCAAAACAUUAUAGGUCACUUUGGACCAAAUGCAUUGAAAGGCAAAAAAGUCCAACUUCAAGUGCACCCAUACUCUUUCAUCAAAAUCCAAAUGAUGCAAAAUUAAGUCCAUUUUGAUUUUCUUGAAACUAUCUACAUCUUUGAUCUUGGAGGUUUUUUCAUUUAAGUUUUCAUCAUCAAAACAGAGGGGCUUGAACAUUGGCCAAUUUAGAAACUUGCCUUUUCAUGUUUUGCACCUUGCACUUUAAACUCAAAUUUCACCAAUUUCCACACUUCAAAUGGAUUUUUGCCCAACAUAACAAAUGUUCCUUACAUCAAAACCUUUCCAACCAUUACUCACAUGCUCAUGUUUGGAUUGGCAAAUGGCAUUUUCGAAGAGGAGAAGUUUUAGCAUGAUUAUGCAUGACAUGUUGAAACUCAUUAUACAAGCUUGUGCAUUGCCAAUUCCACGACCAUUUCAGCUCAGUUUAUGAUUCAGAGUGCAUUUGGCAUUAAAUUUGGGCCUUUUGAAUGAUCAUGCAAGCCCAUGCAAUGAAUAUCCAAUUCCAUGCACACGGCUUUGAUCACACUACCUUGCCUUUCCAUCUAUAAAUAAGGCCUCACUCCAUUCAAAUUUCAUCCAUGAAUCAAUCUGAAAUGCUGCUGAACUGAAAACGAGCCACACUAAAGGACUAUUCCAAUUUUCUUCAAUUUCUCAGAUCUGAAAUUCAACUAAAUCAGGUUGAAUUCUAGAUCUAAAGUUCCUAGACCUCUCUCUCAUACUCCAUUGAUCUUCUGUUGGCCAAAGGAAGCAAGGAAGCAAGCUCAAAUCUCCAGAAUUCAAGGUUGUUCUUCAAUUGGUUUUUUCUUCGAAACUCACCAUUUAUUGAUCUAUUUGCUUGGAUUUUGUGUUGGCUGAAGUCCUCUUCAUGAGGCAAUUGUUUUGAAUGCUCAAUUGUUGAAAUCCAUGAAGUUCAUGAUGAACACCUCAAGCUUCCAUCUCUGAUUUCUCUCUAAUAGAAAUCUAGAGUGGAAGUGGAUGGUAUAGGAGUGAUGUACAUCACUCCUCUUUCGAUUGAUGCCUGGAUCGCGUGUUUUGACGCACAUUUGCUCUUCUGCAAAUUUGAGCUCUUACCGGAGCUAGCUGGAGAAGAUGGUGGCGCUGGCCACCGUCUGGUCUCCAGAUCCAUCGUGGCCGUCCAUUUUUUUCCAGAUCUAAUCCUGGCCCUUGCUUCUUAUGACUUUCAAUAAUGCUAUGUGUUUCGCUGAUGACUUUGGUACACCAUGGAAGCGUGCAUGUGGAGCGUCUGAUCAGCCACGUCAAUUAAUGAGGCUUGAUCAGACGCUCCUUGUUUUUUGAAUUUCUUAUUUUCUGAUUUUAUUUCUUUUAUUCCCAUUAUUUUCAAAAAUUCAUAUCUUCUUCAUUUUAAUUCCAAAAAAUAUGGACCAAUUGCAUUCUUCCCAAAAAAAUUCUAGUUCCUAAUUCAGUUUUUAAUAUUUUUUAUUUUGUCAUUUGAUAUUUUGUGAAUUUUCUCUUUUCUGGUUAUUUUAAUUCAUUUUAAAUAGUUUUGAUAUUCAAAAAAUACAAAAAUAUUUUCCUAACCUUUUUGAAUGAUGAUGGAUCUAUGAAAAAUAUUCUCAUCAAUUUUUUAAUGAUUUGAGAUUUAUUUGAGAUUUUAGUUCAAUUAGGUUAUUUUUAUUCAUUUUUAUAUGAUAAAAUAGUUUCUGACUUUUAAAAAUGCUGAAUUUUUGUCAAACUUUGUUUGACCUUAUUGAACGUAGGAUAAAUCACUUGGCCUUUCAAGGUUGAUUUGAAGUGAUUUUGAAGUUUGACCUUCCUUUUAUUUUUAAUUCAAGUUUAUUUUAAUAUUAAAAUGCCAAAAAUUUUGCUUAUUGUUUGACCUCAACCUUCAUCUCAUUUCUGAUUUCUCAUUGUUUGACUUUGACUUUCAAUGUCAUUUGGUCAACAUACAUGGAUUGGUACAUUUAUUUCAUCUUAUGCACUUUAUUUUCCCAUUUUCAUCUUCCAUUAUUCAUCUCUUUCUUCUUCUUUUUCUUUUUCUUUAUUUUGAUCAAUGAGUGAAGGUUGAUAAGUUAGCAUUGAUUAGGGAACUUAACCUUCCUUGAUUCAAAUCUAUUCAUCUUGAUCAAUUGAUCAAGUGAAUGGUUUUGCAUUAAGGAUAGGUUGUUUCCUAAAUUAUGCAAAAGACUUAAACCAAUACAAGAUCAAUUCUCUUCUUCUUUUUGGCAUGGCAAGUUGUUGGAACUUGGUUCACUAAUCAAGACUUUCUACUUGUGUUGUUGCCUACAUUAUUAUUAACCGGCCUCAGAUAGUUGUGACUUCUACAUAAGUCCAAUUACGAUUGCUUAACAAGCGCUAAAUUUGCCUUAUGGAACACUAACCACUAACACUAACCAUUAAUAAUUAACAUUUACUUUUUGCUCUUUACUUUAAUGCAUUUACUAUUCUUGCCACAUAUUAUCCAUUUGCUUUUCCUUUUGCUCACUUGAGCACAUGUUUAUGUUAAUGCCAUUUGCCUUUUGCUCACUUGAGCACAUAAUUGUGUAUAUACUAUUGUGCUUGUGUUUUGUUUUGAUUGUUGUGAACCAAAUGCAAGAUUGGACAAAUGGACUUAGACUUUUAGACUUUCCCUAUGCAAAUUUGGAGUCAGGAGCAACUAGGCAUUGGCCUUUUAGAAGCUUAAGCUUGAAGAUGAACAUUGAAAGACCAUAUUCUAAACUCCCUCUUGUCCAUUCUUUUGAUUGUUUAUAGAACCUUUUGAUGUAUGUUCUUUGCUAGGAGUUUCAACUUGAGCUUAAUUGAGAACAUUACCAUGAGCUUCCAAGAGAGAGAGAUCCAGAUAAUUGAGGAAUCUUUCAAGGUUCAUUGACUGUGAUUGCUUGAGUUUAUGCUUAUGUGAUUGCUUAUUCCAAAGGAUGAGAGCUACUUGGAUCAUCAAUAUGAUCCAAGAGAGGACUCCAUUGUGGUUUUGUUUCUUAUCCUUACCUCUUGCAUGCUUAGGAGUUUAGCCCUUCUUCUUCUUCUCUCCACUCUAACCAAGCCAAAACUUUGCGCAAACAUCUAACACUUGUUUCAACAUUAGAAACCUAAGCCUUAUGCUUUUGAUUUCAAACUUGCUUUUCAUAAUACUUAUUUUGAAUUGAAUCUUUAAGUCAACUUUGACCAUUUUGUAUAUAUUCUAAGUGGUAAAUUAACCCAUUCAAAUGUCUUUUUAUGGUUCAAUGGCCACUUUCUAAUCAAAUCUUUUCAUAACCUUUAACUAUAGGUUUGAGUUAUCUUUGUGGUAGAUGUAAUACUCACUAUAUCCUAGUGAUGGACAAUGAGUCUUCCAUGCAUAUUUAGGGUUAACCCCCACUAGCAUGUUAAAGCUAUCCUCACAUGGUAGAUUUGUUGGUUUUAGGUUGAGUUUUCUCCCUUUGAUAACAAAGACCUUAAGGCUUUUGGACCAAUCAAUUCACAAACUUGUUUUGAGAUUUUUACCCCGAACUACGAGGUUUUGAUCCUAAUCUUUUUUAAGAUGGUACGUAGGCAAUGGUUUAUCCAUCCAAACACAAAAAUGUAAAUAACUUGUAUAUUCUCUUCUCAUCCUCAAUCAUGUUUGCACAAACAAUUUUCACAAACAACAACCUUACCACAGUAUGAAAAGGGCUCCUUAGGAGUACCUAGGAUGUGCCUAACACCUUCCCAUUGCAUAACCAACCCCUUUACCCAGAUCUCUGACUCUCUUUUACUAUGUUGAUUCGAUAAAACUUUUUCGGUUUUUGUUCGCUUUCUAACCAUUCCUUUGGAUAAAUAGAAGUGCGGUGGCGACUCGACUUGUAUGAUUUACCUUGGAUUUAGUCAAUAUCUCUAAUGGUAACGAAUACCCCGCUACAAAUACUACCACUCAACUCUAGACAAACCUUCUAUGAUAAAUUACUGAAACAUGGAGGUGUACACACAUCAAUAAUAAAUAAACUCUAGCUCUCUAAAAUCUUUAAUAUAUUACUUGGCUUCUAAUGUAGGUUUUGAGCUCCUUAUAUAGCAUAAUAAUUUUGGACUUUUCUUCAUGGAUUUGAGAUUUGAUUUCCCUCAUAAUUAAUACAGAUUAUGUUGCAUAUUAUUUGUUCCUUAAAUAUCUCCAACAAGAUAUGAUUUAUUUCAAUUUAAAUUCAAAUUUAAAUAUUUAUUUAAAUCUGAAUUAAUCUUCGUCCAACUGUCAAACAAAUCACAUAAUCAUAUUGCUAAAUAAAAGAAAUAAAAAUAACUGAAUCUUCUCAAAAUAUUUAUUUAAAAUGCAGUAAUUUGGCGCUUGUUGAGCAAGACCCAGAUAUCGUACCAACAUGCUGGAGCAUCGCAUCCAGCAUGUGUCCCUUUUACACCUCCAUACAACUUAAGCAAGCUAUAUAAUCUUGAACACUUUGAAUACUUUUCCAUGUUGUUUUUUUGUAAAAUGCAGUCAAUUCAGAGGGUCAAUCCAAUGGGAACUAUAUAUAGGUAUUAAUUUUGGGGAUUACUAAUCCCAACAUAUGAGGGGUGGAAAAACACCUUAUAGAAAUCUGAUUUCAAAAAUACAUCUCCAGACAUACCCUUGCUUAAAUGAAUGAAGCCCCAAAUGAGUGUCACCCCAUAUUAUACAAAAAAAAAUAUUUUGGAGAUGCAUCUUUGGAUAAAUCUAAUCAAUUUAUAUAAUAUUGAGCAUACCGGUAAGUUUUUUGGAAAUUCAUUAACGAAGUUUUGAACCAGGAAUUUGAAAGCAUGUCACCUUUGCAUGUCAGUUAUAUCAGGAGAUGCAUUUUUGGAAAUAUCAAACAUGUUUUUUAAUAAAACAGUCACUUGCAUGACAAACACCAUACCUAUUUUUAAUUAAAACCUUUUCAAAAAAACUCUUUCAUUCUCAAUCAAGAUUUUCACUCCAAACCUCCAUUCUUGUGUUUUAUCAUUAUUUUAAAAGGUAGUUAGAUAUUAUUGAGAUGAUUAGAUGAAGUCUAAUGUUUAUCUAAAAACAAUAUAAAUAAUACUCGAUUAAUUAUUAGAUUAAACCAUCGACUACAAUGUAGCAAAUUUCUUUGAAAGGGGAUGGUUGCAAAUUAAUCAGUUUUAUGUCUAAAUUCACAUCUAUAUCUAAAACCACAUUUAAAAAAUCAGAUUUAUGUUAAAAAUGUUUAAAUUGAUCCAUAUAAAUGGGUAUGGAUUAUAUGGAUUUUAGAACCUGUUAUAAAGUGAAUAUCCAAAUCUUCUUCAUUGCAAAAAACUGUGAAUUUCAUAUUAAGUACUCUCUCUCUCUCUCUCUCUAACAUAUCCAUCACCAAAAAACGUAAGUUACAAACUAAUAUCCAGUCAUAUUUCAGAGGAAUGGCUGAUUAACUUUGAUGGAUGUUGAUAUGUUAGAAGUUGGUUUGGUCUAGGGUCGGUUUAGGAAACCUCAAUAGUAGUAAAUGUGACAUGCAUUGUAGAAGGAUGAGUAACAGCCCAAGUCGGGGGACCAAAUUUGACACUAUGAGCAGUGACAAUAUCAUAAACCUUUAUCAAAGAGUAAUUUUUUGCAAGUACGAACACCCAUAUAAAAAAACCAGGGAGGACUCCACCCUCACUAAAUAUAUAUUUCCUCUACAUGAAAUAGACCACACUCACAAUGGCACGUGUAUCAAUGAAUAUUUUCCUCUGAUAAAAAUAUGAAACUUCGAUAGGGUCAAACCCCUCCUCUUAUCCAAGUCCCCAUUAGACAAACUUUAGGUCCCUCUUCAUUAUAAUCUCUUCGCUAGUAAGAGAGUCUAAUUGGAAACCAUACGAACGAGGCUCGUGAUAGAAGUGGGUUCAAGUCUAGUAUUUCAAAACCUACCCUUACAAGGGAGUGUAAAUUCGGUAGGGCCAGAGCAAAAUGCAAAGUGAGCUUCCCAAGUGCAGGGUAUCACCAACCCAAAGUGCCCUAGAAAGUCGCCCAGUCUUCCAAGAAGGGAUGAACAAGUAAACAUGUUGACAUAGUUGAAUAAGUCCUUGAUUUUGGUUAUUGUAUCGGGAAAGUAUGUAUUAAUACGAAAAUUUGAAGAACGGCCGGUAUGAGAGUUUCCAAGACAUAUGCUCAGCCCAAAAUAUAAACACCUUUAUGAAAUCCCAGGAACCCGACUGAAGCUGAGAUGAGGCAGCCUUCAAGUACUUAAACACUUCCACCUUAAAUUUAGACAUAGUUAAUCACAUGUUUAUCCUGGUGAACAGACACUCAUAAAAAGGGACAUAACCCCCUUCAAAGGUGAUACAUAUCCUUUUUUUUCGGAUCCACUUGAAUGAUCCAUUAAUCAAAAGGAUGACCGACUAUGAUGUUGGUCGCACUUACGCCUCCUAGUCAAUUAAAAUGGAUGGGGUAUCCAUUAUAUCUGAGUACAUCCAGUUGUAUUUACUUGUGUCGGUCAGCUCCGCAAACUUAGCCCUUCUUAAGGAUAACUCAUGGGCCUUAAAGAUCUCAAAGGGGUUAAGCCAGGUAACUCCAUUUGGUUGGGGUCCACAUUCUAGAUGAUCCUUGAUAUCGACAUCACUAGGGUCGUGACCAUAGGCCUCUUGAUAAUCCUUAAUUUAAUCUUUGGCAUCAUCUCUCUUUAGAAUGUCAAUCACCAUUUCCAAAGUCAGUAAAGCAAGCGAAGUCGAAGUUCCUCCAACUUUGGAGGAAGCAGGCACAAAAGUGACUACACAAUCCUCUUAUGCAUCUUUAUCAGAGAAGAUAUCAUCAAAAGAAGAAUCAAUGGAAGAAGCAUACCCAUAGAGCCCUUAGAGAGCUUUUGCGACUCAAAAUCAUCAAUUAUAGAUAUAACCUCGUGGGGUGAUUGAUCCGUGAUUAAGUGGAGAGGAUUUAGACUAGAAGAUACUUCUACCCUAACUAAGGGAGAAGAAUCAUCGCUCAUAGAUUUUUUAGCCAAAUUUAUGAGGUUAUCGUUCAUAUUACCAAUGAUAAGAAGGGUACUUUGGAGAAGGAGAAUCUGGCGAGAAAGGCAAAGUUCAAAUGGGAGCAAGGUUGUUAAAACCACGAUUUAAAACCUAAAUUCUAUAGAUUUAACGUUUCUAGAAUAGCCUUUCAUGUUAAAUUCUAGGUAAAAACAUUUUAUGUAUAAUUCUAUCCUGUAACCAUUUAAAUUGCUCUGAAAUCGAUGAAAUCGUGUAAAAUUGUUGGAUUUUACUCUAUGACUCAAUUUUAAAUUUUUUCCAAUUUUGUAUUUUAGUCUAUGAUAAUCGUUGAAUGAUGAAGACACCGAUGAAGAAGAUGUUUUCGAAGGAUUGAACUUUCAAUUAAAUGGAAGAUAAAGAUGACAAUACUUGAUUUUUAAACUUGAGAAAGAUAUGAAACUCUUAUUUUUUGUAUAAUUUUUUAAAUAUUACUUUUUAUGAUUUGGUGGGUAAUUUAUAUAUUUUAAUACAAAUUUAUGAAUAUUGCACUUUAUUACAGUGAUUUAAUAUAUUUUUUGCUUUAUAAUUAAGUUAGAAUUUUAAAUUAUUAAUGCAUUGACAAUCUCUCUCUCUCUCUCUCUCUCUCUCUCUCUCUCUCUAUAUAUAUAUAUAUAUAUAUAAUCGUGUAUAUAAAUUUAAUAUUAUUUUAUUAUGUGAUAAACUCUAUAAUUUUACGUUUCGACUUUACCUUAGUCAAACGAGUCAAGGUAAAAAAAUCAAUUAUGACAAGGUAGAAUGGGGGAUUGAAGGCUUUGUUCAAAGAAUAACAAUCACUCUAAAAAAUAAUCUUGGAGAGGAAGAAGAAAAGACGACCUCAAGGGGAGCGAAAAGUUCUCAAAAACCUCAAAUAUCAUUAAAUAUGGAAUAAGACAAUCAAUGGAUAUGAUUAGCAGGAGUGAGAAGUUACAAAAUCAAUGGCUAGAAUUCACAUUAGCCAAUGUAAACCGAUCAAAGUGCAACCAAGUGCACUAGGAGGAAGUGUGAUACCCUAAAUUGGUCACGUAAAACCAUGCAUACGGAAAAAUCAAUGAAACGUUUCAAUGAUGGGAAAACAUUUAAUGCAUUUUCUUCCUAUUAUAUUUGUAAUUGAUCCAAAACAUUCCCGCUUUUCUACAAGGUUGAACACCAUUGCUAGAGGUCGGCCACAACUUCGAGGACUUUCCCGACUGAUUUUCAUCCGGCAAAGUCUUGGGGGGAAACUGUUCUGGACCAACCAAAGAUCAAAAGUGAAGGUCCAAUCAAAUGCAAGUGCAAUCAAAAUGACGCAACGUAUAAAGUUAGCACACGUGAGAAUCAAAGUAACACGUUUUUUAUUUUUUUUACUAGACUCAUCUUGGACUCUAAACUGACUUAAGUGUUGGAGUGUUAAGUUUGUAUAUCCACCAUGCGCCACCACAUUAGAGAUUAACACUUUUGAUUCAAGACUUUCUAUCAUAGAUCAAUGUAACACCCUUCUAAAUACCCCAAAUUAUGUAAUUAAAAUAAUAAUAAAUCAAUCAGAGUAAUUAUGCCCCGAAGGGUGUCACACAAUCAUUUCACAACGAUCAUCAUAAUUUCCUGUCAUGCUGAUAUAUUAUUUAAUUGGAAUAUUAUAAGUUGGAAUAAAAAGUCCCAAUUUUGGAACAAGGGUUUUUUCACGUGAAAAGGAAAAGAGAAGCGGCUGAAAGAGAAAAGGGCAAAAGGCAGAACAAGAGAAGAGGAAGAGCUUGAAGCUGCAGAAUUGCCGGAUUAACUCAGGUAAGGGGGUUUAUCGUCGAUUUAACGGGUAUUAUAAUGAUAAUAUGUUCAUGGGUAGUGAUAGACCUUGAAUUACUUCUGAAUUGGCAUGAUUAUGGUGAAUUUGUGAACCUUUGGGAGGAAUGAAAUUGGGGAAGAAUCGAGAGAAAUUCGUAGGGAUUUGAUGUAAACGUGUUAGGUUUGGUGUAAUCAAUAAGACAUGAAUUGUGUUGACAAAUGAGGACGAUUAAUUGAUGUAAAUUGGACUGUGGAAGGUUGGAUCGGAUAGGUUUCGUAAUAGGAAAACCAUUGUAGAUCUGAAAAUCUGGUUUCUGUAGCAGAGGGUUCUGUUCGCGCGCGCGAUUCGGCGGCGCGAAGCCGCGUUCGCGCGGUGCGAACUGUAAAAUCCAGAAGGGUUCUGUGACGACCUUCGCGGCGCGAACCCUCCUGCGCGGCGCGAACUGUGCUGUGCAGAAGUGGAUAUUAAAUUGUGAUUUCUGUGCUGUGGUGUGCAGUUUUGGCUGUUUAGGCUGAGUGAUGUGAUUUAGCUGAGGACCGAUGUAUUAGGGAUCAUUUCCCGUUGUUUUGAGAGGCAUGGUAUUAGUAGGGUGUGCUAAUACUAUGAUUGAUUGUGUGGCAUGAUAUGAUAUGCUUUCGUGAUAAUGUGUUGAUGAUAUGUGGGUGUGCAUUAUGCUGUAAAUGUAUCAGUUAUGUAUGCAUUGUGAAUAACUGUGUAUGACUUAUGGUGUGAGCAUAUUGUCUAUUCUUGAGUUGUUGUUGAUGCUGCAUUGCUAGAUGAUUAGCAUGCAUGGCAUAGCCUGUGGGGCUGUAGCUAAUUCCCAUGGUAGGAAUUAGUGAGUGAAUUCUUGUGAAUUGUUGUUGAUGUUUUGCAUACUAGAUGAGUAGUGUGCAUAGUCUAGCCUUGGCUGUAGCUAAUCCAUGGUGAGGAAUUAGUGAGUGAGUCACUAGGUCUCAAAUGAGUGGACUAGUGAGCUUAGUAGCCGUAUCCGGAGGGAUCGGUGAGCUUGAACUGUAAGUUCAAGAAGAGUCGGUACCGCAUAUGUUGAGUCUCAUUGCAUAAUGAAUGUAUGGCAUAUAUAUGAUGGGAUGUAUUCCAGUAUUAUAUGUGUGUUGUGUAUUGUGUUGUUGAUGUUGAGUAUGGUUGGAGAUUAUCAUAUGUGAUAGGUUGUGGUUGAGUAUGAUAUUUGAAUUGAUGCUGCCGUUUUUGAUGUGUGUAGUCUGGUAGGGUGAUUUGAUGCGUUAGUUACUUAACAUUACAUAAUGUUGUAUAUGCUUAUUAUAUUGAUUGAGGAACUCACCCUUACACCUAUUUUUCAGGUAACGAGCAGUGAGUUGAGUAGGAGCUAGUGCUUGGAGUCUAGUGUAGUCUCCCUAGUGGGGUCANNNNNNNNNNNNNNNNNNNNNNNNNUGAUAGCAACGCUCGGUGCUCAAUCUUCGACUUCUGACAAGUCAACAGGAAUAAACCAAACUCGCAAUUCUCUUUUCAUUCCUGGCCACCAAACAAUCUUCUCAAAUCCUGAUACAUCUUCGUAGCUCCAGGAUAAUACUCAACCCAUACAUUCUCUCAGUACUUUUCCUAAGCUCGUAACAUCCGGAAUGCACACCGAUUACCAAUUUCAAAAUACCAUUCCCUACACUCUGAUUCACCACCUGACCUUGAUUUACUAAGGCAUUUUCAACCAAAGCAUAUCGAUUCUGACCCUCUCUAUCUCAUCCAAAUACACUUGUUAGUUUCACAUUCCCAGUUUUACACUAUUUGUAGUACUCUCACACCAAACUCAGUCUCUAAACUGCUCAAUUACAUCCAAUUCCCUUACCAAACAUAUAAUAAUGUUAAACGAUUUCCGACUCAAGCAUCGGGGCCACUACAUUUGCUUUACCCGGAGGAUAUUCAAACAAAUCUAUCCUUCAAAAUCCUAACCAUCUUCUGUCUCAAUUCAACUCUCUCUGAUCAAACAAAUACUUUAAACUCUUAUGGUCACUGAAACCUUCAAUCUUGACCAUUAUUAAGUAUGCCUCAACUAGAACAAAACACAGCUGCCAACUUCUAAAUCAGUCGGAUGUCCUCUCAUGAACCCUUAGCUGUCCGAGCAUAAGCUAUAACCUGCUUUUCUGCAUUACACACCAUAAACCCACAAUGAAGCAUCACAAUAAACCUCAAUAAUUCCGACGAACUUGAAUAUCAGAUAGGAGCAGUAUGUUAACCUUCUUUAACUUUUGAACCUUCCUCACAUUUUGAGUCCCAAAACGCUUGCCCCCUUCUAGCACAUCGUCAACGAACGCCAACUUAGAAAUCCUUCAAUAACUUCCUAUAAACCAGCCAACCAGAAACUUCGAAUCUCAGCAGAACAGACUUAGGAGCUUCCACUUAAUACCGCUUCUAUUUAGAAGGGAUCAACAAGCAACACACCUCUCGAAUCACUGACCAGAAAAUAACUCUUUCUAACCAAAUUCACACUUGGAUAGUUUAGCAAAUAACUUCUUUUCUCGUAGAACUCCCACAAACCAUUCUCAAAUGCUCAGCAUGUUCUUCUUCAGAUUUCGAAUACACCAAAUGUCGAUCAAUAAACACCCACAACAAACUUAUCCAGUACGGAUGGAAAUCCUUUCUAUCUAUAACUCCAUAAAUACUCCAGCGCAUUAGUCACACCAAAAGGCUUACAGAAUACUCAUAAUGUCACAUACCUUGUUCUGAAAGCAGUCUUCUGAAUAUCCUCAGUUUUCACACGUAUUGAUGAUACCCAAUCUCAAAUCUAUUUUGCUGAACACGCUUGCACCAACCAAUGGUCCAUCAAAAUCAUUCUCCUCGUAACGGAUACCGAUUCUUGAUCGUCACUUUCAUUCAGUUGCCGUAGUCCACACACAACCUCAUGUACCUUUCUUCUAACCAACAACACUGGUGCACCCACGGGACACACUAGACGAAAAAUUUCUUAUCAACAAAUCUUCCAACUGACUCUUCAAUUCACUUUUAACACAGCAGACAACUAGGAGCCAUCGAUAUCGGUCUAUACCAGGAUCCAAUUCAAUUGCACUCAACUUCAUCGUCUGCGAUUCAUUCAAUCUUCAGAGAAACAUACAGGGAAAAAAUCCAAAUCAGAAUAUCACAACACACGGCAAAUCCCAUCAACCAUUUACUCUUUAGACCUCCAAAGUCGUAAUAGAUAAAACAGCUGCCCCAUCAGCGCUCACCUCAUUUCACUUGCGCUUGCAUGAUUAAAAAACAAAUCUUCUCUCCUCAACGUUCGGAAAUACCCAGUUUAUCACAACACAAUGAACUUCGCUUGAGUCUCGAAGAGAAUAUCUAAUUGAACUUUUGGGGUUCUUUUAAACCCAACCAAUAUUCACCCAACAGAUAAGCGAUCAAUUAUGACUACUACCAGAGACACACAAGUCUAUCUCAAUUCCCUACAAAAAUAUCAAGGGACACUUAGACAAACUGAGUAGUAGUCACGUUGAGUACUCCUUCGCCAGGACGUAUCAGUAUCACUACUACCAAACAUCUCAAUUGAUAUCCAACUAAAGUUCAACAGCACCAAUCCAAAAUAAAAGAAUGAAGUUCCGCACCUGCAAUAAAGCUACAAGAGGAAACAGCCAUUAAUACAAAACACCUACCCGGAUCAAACAAUCAUUGUCAGGGCCCAUCGCACCGGCUCGAACCGAUAACAAAACUUCCGGCCCCUGAUGCUGUCUUUCUUUGCUAUCUGUGACCGAUGCUUUUGAGCAUUUUGGAGCUGAGACUUGAGUCUAUCGUCAUUACCUAUGUUAAUAUUGUUAAGGAAUUGGUGGAUUAGUUAGAGCCAGUUUAUAUGAGACCCUGAUUAAAGAUCCCAACUCUAGAUUUGAACAAUACACUAGAGUUUACGGUCUUUGGUUUGGUCAACCACACUCUUUGCACCAACUGAUGACCACCUUUUCCACAACUUGAAACAUUUCAUUCUCAGCCACUCACACUCCGUGGGUAUACUUACGAAUAGUAGCACUUACUGGAAAUGUGGAAACUAACAAGUGUAUUUUGGUUCGAGUGUUCCAGACCCGAUCGAGCAAUUCAGAGAGUGUUGCUAGCACCCGGGCAUUAGUAGAAUCUCCCCCACUACGCCUCUCAUCCACUCUGCCUCUGACAACCAGGUCAGAAUCCGAUGAUGCUUCUUGCCAGUCUGUGCGAACUUGAUAAUUUCGAGCGUUUAUGUAUAUCCAUCAAGGAUCCGAGACAAUUCUAAUUCGUGGCGCCGUUUGGGCAUCGACUCGGUGCUGGGUAGCUCUCAGCUCGCCUUGGAAUCCUGUCAAAUCCUGGGUGCCAACAGUCGACUAAAUCAGGAAAACACUCUAUCCGUGAACCCCAAUCGCCUGCUUAGAUUCCUCGGGACGCAGCCCGUUCUCAAACUACAGUACUGUAGAAAAAUCCCCAGCAGCCUUCAGCGAUUGACGGGGAGUUAGUGUGAGUCUCGACAGCUCGUUAGAAUUCCUUUAGAAGCAUGAGUGCAUACCAUCCUAACAGAACCUGGCCAUGUAUUGCUUUCGAAAUUCCAAUUAUAAGAACUCUUCCCUUCUUUCCUUAUCUGGACAUCCUCUGCGAAAUCCUCAGAAUCUCUCUCUGAACACUGCCCAAACGUGAUCUCAGCAUUCUCAGCAAUUCAACUCAGGCGGACAAGGUGUGCCAUUCCGAUGUUACCGCGCUUAGAAAACCGUAAUCUCCGAAGGUUAAAGCAUCCUGAGUGGUCUUGAGUAUGUCUCUAUCUCCUUAGCUGACAUAAGGAAUGUUAUCAAGCUUAUAGAUUGAAGAAGUUGUUUUCUGUCACCUGAGCAGGAUUAUGAACAGUAGAUUGCCGAGGUUUUUUAUUAUCCAUGUCUUGACUGAUCCGACGAUCGAAGAUUAUGUUCAGCAUGCAGAAAAGCCGUCUAGUCGCUCAUUAGUCCAGCUCGCUUGGCCCUCAUUCCUAGUGGUGGAAGUGGAGCACCACUCUUGUGCGCGUAUUUGCGCCCUAUGUAUAUCAAGUAUUGGGAUUUGUUUACGGUAGGUUCGCUUGGAAGCUCACGCAGUUACUGCGGAGAGCACGGCCUUCCACACGAUGUUAAGAUCUGGCUAUUUGGGUGUUGUGAUACUCCACAACAUCUAGCACCUCAGUUCAUAUCCCGACAGAAAUGGCCCAGAUAUCCGUUAGAGAGAUUAGCCACCCAGAGUUGUAUAUUGAGAAGAUUGAACUUGCUGGGUAUUCCGAGCUCGCGAGUAUCUGUUUCGACGACAGAAUGCCGCGCUAGAUUACAUCGCAAAGUUCUUCGAUGCGUUACUUAGGUUCCUUACAGCCAAAGCCUUAGUGACAUCUAACGUUGAGGAUGAUCGAUUAAAUGACAUAUCCCAUCACGCAGACUAGCAAGCCAAACAAAGAAGUAACUUUCGGAGACUUGAAACGAGCAGACAACGCAUACAAUGCCACUAGAGUUACAUGCGUUUUGAGAGCUUUUUCUUGGAAAAAAGGACAGGUGGGCUUGAGAUUGUUAAUUAUUUACCGCAGAUUGCAUUGUCGAGCUUUGACCACGAUACAAAAACAGUUUUCAUUCGAGUAUUGGUAUGCACCGUUUGCAAGCCUGGUAAUGUAGGAAUGUCGGAAUCACCUUGCUUAUCGUUGUUAAUGCCGUUACCGACGCGAGACACACCGGUGCUCAUGGAUUGCCACCGGAAAUUGAAUUUACAUUAAACUCGAGAAAAUGAAUUAAAAGGUGAUUACAACAUGAAUCAAGAUUGCUCAAGAGUCGUCGGAAGAGAUUUCAUGAUAAGAGGAGCGGAAGAUUACACUGUUGAGUCCCCCGAAGAGGGAGUCUGUGUUUAAUUACGGUGGUGACUUCCCAGCAACAACUAUCAUUUCACUGAAAACGAUCAUCAUUUAAUCCGGCAGCUUUCUGAAUAGUCCUACAUAUUGAAGUUGUAUUAACUCCUCCAAGUAAAUACAGAUUAGUAUUAUCGGUGCAAUACGCACUAUCGUUUUGCGAUUAAAAAAGCAGAUUUAGGGGAGGUAGUUCAAUUCAUCUUAUCGCAAUACAUUUCGUCAACUAUUACAGCAAAAUCACAAUUUCCGCCCGCAAUCAUAAUAUCGUGCACUAACAUUUGCGCGAAUUUGCCAUACUGCAUGUUUGUAUCAUGUGUACAUCCUACAGUUGUCAAGGAAGAUCCAUUGAUCAAUCCAUCCGUCGCAACUUAGUUGGUCAAACAGCUGAAGCUAUCGAUCGUAACAGGCAGCUAAGAGUUAACCUGACUGCUUUGAAACCGCAAUACCAUCCAUGAUGCAGGAUCGAGGUGACUCUCGGAGAAGAUUGAAAAAGUCAGUUUGGCCGUUUUAAGGGUGAGUUCCUCAUCAAAUAAUAACAUAACAACAAAAUUAAGUACUUCAAGCUAAAGACAAGAAUUCGCCCUUGAGCUCGAAAACACACGGACUUUGCUAUAGAAGACAGCAGGACCGCAACCAUCAAUCCAAAUAUUCAACUCAACCAAACCAUCACAGAUGUAUAAGCUCCAACCAUUACCAAACACAACAAACGACACAACACACAUAAUACGGGAAACAGUCCGGUGCAUAGGCUAAUUAGAUUGCCACUAGGUACAGGCAACUGGAAGCGAUCAAUGAGACUCAAAUGACAAGGGAACGUCUAUUCAGAGUUUCGCUUGAGUAGGUUUUCAGGAUGCGACAACUCCUUCUUUACUGUGAACGGGAGAGUGUACAGUGUAACACAUUCCCAAUUGGAAAUAAUAUUAUCAACCAUUUGACACUUUCAGAUUACUAUUGAUAUAUUAUAUCUUACCUUAUUGACAAUAAUUGGCUAAUCAUUUGACUUCGCACUUCAGUAAACUUCUAUUAAUGUAUUACUUUAUAGGGCACUAAUAAUCAUUAUAAUUUCGCAAUCCAUACUCUUUUUGGAGUAAAAUAAGUAGUCUGGAAUCAAAGAGCCCAAAAAGGUCCCAUUUUGGAACAACGGUGUUAACUCACAUGGCGUGAGCAAACAUAGGAACAUCAGAGAAGCGGCUCUAGAUUGGCAAAAACAAAAGGGCAAGUCAAGAGCAACCGAUGACAACAAGAAAAGUUCGAACGAUCGACGAGUGAGCCUCUGACGCUGACCAUUAGAAGUUUGCCAGAUUUAUACCUCACGAGUAACGCGCCAGGCUUUAUCGCGCAUUUAAUCGGAUGCGCAUAUAUAUUGACUUAAUAUGUUACAUGCAUCUUGCAUAGGAUAGCACAUUGAAUUACUUCUGAAUGGCAUGAUUCAUGCGUGAAUUGAUGAACCUUUGGGAGGAAUGAAAUGGAGAAUCGAGAGAAAUUCAGGUAGGGAUGAUAGCAUAAACGACUCGAUUAGUUUGGAUGUACUCAUCUAAGAAUGAAAUAGAGACAGCUGAUUUGACAAUGAGGAACAAAUUAAUUUGAACAUAGUAUAAUAUGGCAACAGUCUACUUUCACAAGACAUAAUAACUUCGACUACAUUACCCAGCUUAAUGGCCUGUAGGCCAUCAAAGCGUUGAUCGGAAUUAGGUUCCGUAAUAGGAAAACCAUUGUAGAUCUGAAAUCUGGUUUCUCUGUAGCAGUAGUUUUCCGCGCAGCCGUUCGCGGCGCAAGGCCCCAGCUCGGAGCAGGUCAAUCAUCGUCAAGCAAUCCAGAAGGCGUUCUGUGAACCGCACAAUUCGUGCCGCAUAUUCGAACCUCCUGAGCCCAGCGCCCGCGAACUGUGCUGUGCCAGAAGUGGUAUUAAAUUUGAUUUUGUGCUGUGGUGGUCAGUUUUGGACUGUUAGGCUGUGAGUGAUGUGCAUUCUAGCUGGUGACAAUAUUUGGACAUCGUUGUAUGGAGCAUACCGGUAUAUAGGGUAAAUACUAUGAUGUUUGAUGAGCAGAUAGUGAUUAUAUUCUGUGUAUCUUAUUGUGUAUGAAGUGCUGUCUGCUCUGAUUGAUGAAUGAUGUGGGUGAUGCAUUAUGCCGUAACAUGUAUAGUUACAUGCCUAGCAUGAGUGAAUAGCACUGUAGUAAAUGAAACUUCCACGCAGUGGUUGAUGGCCAGGUGGGGCAUCGAUUGUCCUUUUGAGUUGUUGUGAUGCUGCAUUGCUAGAUGAUUAGCAAUGCAUGGCAUAGCCUGUGGGGCUGUGCUAAUUCCAUGGUGAGGAAUUAGUGAGUGAAUCUUGCUGAAUUGUUGUUGAUGUUUGAAUUAGCAUGAAGUAUUGCGUGCAUUAACUUAAGCCAUUGGUGCUGUAGCAUGCCCAUGUGAGGAAUUAGUGAGUGAGUCACUAGGUCUAAGAUGAGGGACUAGUGAGCUUAGUAGCCGUAUCCGGAGGGAUCGGUGAGGCUUGAACUGUAAGUUCAAGAAGAGUCGGUCCGCAUAUGUUGAGUCUCAUUGCAUAAUGAAUGUAUGGCAUAAUUGAUGGGAUGUAUUCCAGUAUUAUAUGUGUGUUGUGUAUUGUUGUUGAUGUUGAGUAUGGUUGGAGAUUACAUAUGUGAUAGGUUGUGGUUGAGUAUGAUAUUUGAAUUGAUGCUGCCGUUUUUGAGUGUGUAGUCUGGUAGGGUGUUUGAUGCGUUAGUUACUUAACUUACAUAAUGUUGUUAUGCUUAUUAUAUUGAUUGAGGACUCACCCUUACACUAUUUUUCAGGUAACGAGCAGUGAGUUGAUAGGAGCUAGUGCUUGGAGUCUAGUGUAGCUCCUAGUGGGUCAUGCUCUGAUAGAUGUACAUCGGGAUGGGAUGUUUGAAUAUUUUAUUGAUUGGUUGGGAAACCAUUUUGCAUGAUUAUAUCAUGUUUGGAAUAAUUGAGCUGUUUUCUAUCCGCUGCGUAUUAUGCAGAUACUUUAUAUAUUUGAGUUAAUAACAUGAUUAUUCCAAUAAUUAUUAUUCCCAAAAUAAUAAUAAUAAUCCAAAAUUCCAAUUAUUCAAUUAAAUUAAUAAAUAAAAUAUUAAUUUAAAUUAAAUAAUUAUCUUAUUUUAAUUGGGGUGUUACAAUCAACACCAAUUCUAGUUCAAGUACAUAGGACAUUUCAAACCAAAUUAAUAGAAAAAAAUGGGCGAUUCUCAAUUCAACUGCAAUCAAUCGCAUUCAGGGCCGUCCUAGAAUGGGUGCAAGGUUGACUAUUGCACUGUUAGUUGGAAUUUUCAACAAAGGAAAAUUCCUCAACAAAUAGGUCAGAGUAAGAGACAUGUCAACUUUUUGAUAAGUUGUGCGUAGUCUUGGGUCCCAGACAAGGAUAAAUUGGGACUUAACAGUUUCUUGGAAUAUUGUGGAAACAUUUCGACAGCAGGUUCUCGCCAGCAGCAACUGCGUCGAGGAAACAAUUAUUUGGGCGCGUGGAUAUCGCGUUUAAAUAUUAUAAUUGCUUUUGGAGUUACAUUCUGAAGGACACUUGGAGGAAAUGCAAGACGAAAGGCAUGCAUGCGUCUCCGUGGCAAAAGCUGAAGAUUUGAACGUUAAGAGCAGUCAUUUCAUACUAGUAUAUAUAGGGAUUCCAUUUGUAGAACUAUGGGUGUUCAUUUAACUAUAAAAUCUCACUUACACUCGAAGUAUCAACGCUAAGAGAAAAGAGUAUUCAUUGAGAGAAUGUAUGAAUCAUGAAACAUCAAAUCUUUACUUUAAUGCAAAAGUUUUUCAACUCCAUUUACUUUUCCAGUCUAAUUACUUUCGUUUACACAUCUUUCAAUAUUUUCUUUUCACUUUUGCUUUACUGUAGCAAAUCUUCUUUAUUUUUGUCAAAAUUACACUUUUUACAUUGUCACUAUGACUAUUUUGAUUGAGUCGAAGCAACGUCCUUUCUUAAAAGUAAAUCACAAGCCAGUGUUAGCACAAUGUCCUAGGAUUCACUAGUCGAUCCUGCCUGUAACCUUUAAUUUAGAGACUAGCAGUUGUUUACGAAAUUCCAGAGUAAACACGCACAAGGUCCAAAAAAUUUCACGAUUAAACUGUAGCUAAAUAUGUCUCAUUAAAUGGUUGUCACGGUUAAACUGUGGUUAAGUAGAACCUCUAUUUUUUAAAAAAUUAAAUUACGACUUAUUUACUUUGGAUCUCCAAAAAUAUGAGACGGCUCCGUUCGCAUUCAUAUUAAUUCUUGAUCAAAAAGAUGACAUUCCUAUACAUUUAACAUAAUCUUGUGAACACAUAUUGGAGCUGGUUGAAGAGUGUGAUUCUUUACAAAUUUCAUUUCUUACCUAUUUAUUUUUAGCCAUGUCUUGAUGUCGAGGACUAAGAUCCAGAACGUAUCCAAAAUUCAAGGACUUGUUGGAAGCAUUAAUGGCCAUGCACAUGAAUAUGAUUACAAAACCAAUGUCAAUAAUACACCGUGCCCUCACUUAUCUCAUAAAAAAACACUAAACUUGUUCAUCAUUAAUCUAGGAUCAUGAUGAAACGUUAGUGCACAUGGUUUGACUUCUCAAUGUUCUCAUAAACCACUUUUGCGUAUCUCUAAACUUAGAUAGACAAAAUAUAAAACAAAAACAUCUUUUAUUUAUCAAAAGAGAUUCUAAAUAACAUAACUACUAGUAAUAUGAAAUUAGUUGUAUAAUUUGAAUUGAAUUUAACGCUUUUACUUAAUUCAAACUAUCAAAGGUUAAAAUUCCAAUUUUUCUUCCUAGCUUUUCUAAUUGAUCUCUUUUGAAAAUCUUAGUAAAUAAGUCAGUCAGCAGCUCUUGUGUAGGGAAAGAUUAAACUAUCAACUUGUCUUUAUUUGUUUGGUUUCUUAGAAAAUUAAAACUUGUUUCAUUGUGUUUAUUGAUUCUUACCGUGACAAAUAGGAUUCAUUGAUAUGCUAUGACCGAUUUGUUGUCAAAUCUCAACUUUACUUCAAUAUUACCAUUAAUAUGUUGUAAUUAAUGAAGAAAUUAAUAGAUAAUCGUUGGUGUGUUCCAAUUAAAAAUUUAAUUCACUUUAAUGUUCUUUAUAUAGACUAGCGUUCAGACGGACACUCCUAUGUCCGUCUGCCCGCUUUUUUUAAUGCGCAAAACAGAGAAAAAUAAGUGUCCGUUUUUCUUUUUAUGAGGUUUCUAUUGUAGGUCGCAUUAAAAAUAAUAUUAUUACAUUUUGAAAAUGAUAAACAAAGAUAUUCAAAAUUAUAUCGAAGCAUGCAAAAUACUAUUGAUACUAUUUAAUCAAUGACGUUCUUUAAGAGGAAUGUCAAACAUGAAAUCUUUAUUCGAAGUAUUUUCUUUUUCCCUGCAAUUGUUUUCCAUAGUAAAGAAAAAAUGUAAGAUUCUCAAAUUAGAUUUUUUUUAGAGAAAAAGAUAGUAAAAUUAAUAGUAAGUAGUGUAAUAUAGUUUUUUUUACCUUAUAAAGAUUCGAAUCAAUUCUUCGUACAUCCCUUUAUCAAUGCGCUAUUGAGAUUUAAAAAACUAAAAAUACAUGACGGAAUGUCGUAUCAUCAAAGAAAUACAUUCAAAACAUUUGACUCGCUUGAAUAUAAUAUGGGUUAUUGUGACAAAAAUAAUGUAUACCUGGAGAAUGAAGAUACUUUGUUUUAGUCUAGAUUUGGUAGAACAACAACUAUGAAAAUAUUAACAAUUUCUCUUUUUUUAGUCUAGAUUUGGUAGAAUAACAACUAUGAAAAUUAGAUCGAAGCAUGCAAAAUACUAUUGAUACUAUGUAUAUCAAUGACGUUCUUUAAGAGGAAUGCCAAACAUGAAAUCUUUAUUCGAAGUAUUUUCUUUUUCCCUGCAAUUGUUUUCCAUAGUAAAGAAAAAAUGUAAGAUUCUCAAAUUAGAAUUUUUUUAGAGAAAAAGAUAGUAAAAUUAAUAAUAAGUAGUGUAAUAUAGUUUUUUUUACCUUAUAAAGAUUCGAUCAAUUCUUCGUACAUCUCUUUAUCAAUGCGCUAUUGAGAUUUAAAAAACUAAAUAAUACAUGACGGAAUGUCAUAUCAUCAAAGAAAUACAUUCAAAACAUUUGACUCGCUUGAAUAUUAUAUGGGUUAUUGUGACAAAAAAAUGUAAACCUGGAGAAUGAAGAUACUUUGCUUUAGUCUAGAUUUGGUAGAACAACAACUAUGAAAAUAUUAACAGUUUCUCUUUUUUUAGUCCAGAUUUGGUAGAAUAACAACUAUGAAAAUUAUAUCGAAGCAUGCAAAAUACUAUUGAUACUUUGUAAUCAAUGACGUUCUUUAAGAGGAAUGCCGAACAUGAAAUCUUUAUUCGAAGUAUUUUCUUUUUCCCUGCAAUUGUUUACCAUAGUAAAGAAAAAAUAUAAGAUUCUCAAAUUAGAAUUUUUUUUAGAGAAAAAGAGAGUAAAAUUAAUAGUAAGUAGUGUAUUAUAGUUUUUUUUACCUUAUAAAGAUUUGAUCAAUUCUUCGUACAUCCCUUUAUCAAUGCGCUAUUGAGAUUUAAAAAACUACAAAUACAUAACGGAAUGUCAUAUCAUCAAAGAAAUACAUUCAAAACAUUUGACUCACUUGAAUAUAAUAUGGGUUAUUGUGACAAAAAAAAUGUAUACCUGGAGAAUGAAGAUACUUUGCUUUAGUCUAGAUUUGGUAGAACAACAAAUAUGAAAAUAUUAACUGUUUCUCUUUUUUUAGUCUAGAUUUGGUAGAAUAACAACUAUGAAAAUUAUAUCGAAGCAUGCAAAAUACUAUUGAUACUAUGUAAUCAAUGACGUUCUUUAAGAGGAAUGUCGAACAUGAAAUCUUUAUUCGAAGUAUUUUCUUUUUCCCUGCAAUUGUUUUCCAUAGUAAAGAAAAAAUGUAAGAUUCUCAAAUUAGAAUUUUUUUNNNNNNNNNNNNNNNNNNNNNNNNNNNNNNNNNNNNNNNNNNNNNNNNNNNNNNNNNNNNNNNNNNNNNNNNNNNNNNNNNNNNNNNNNNNNNNNNNNNNNNNNNNNNNNNNNNNNNNNNNNNNNNNNNNNNNNNNNNNNNNNNNNNNNNNNNNNNNNNNNNNNNNNNNNNNNNNNNNNNNNNNNNNNNNNNNNNNNNNNNNNNNNNNNNNNNNNNNNNNNNNNNNNNNNNNNNNNNNNNNNNNNNNNNNNNNNNNNNNNNNNNNNNNNNNNNNNNNNNNNNNNNNNNNNNNNNNNNNNNNNNNNNNNNNNNNNNNNNNNNNNNNNNNNNNNNNNNNNNNNNNNNNNNNNNNNNNNNNNNNNNNNNNNNNNNNNNNNNNNNNNNNNNNNNNNNNNNNNNNNNNNNNNNNNNNNNNNNNNNNNNNNNNNNNNNNNNNNNNNNNNNNNNNNNNNNNNNNNNNNNNNNNNNNNNNNNNNNNNNNNNNNNNNNNNNNNNNNNNNNNNNNNNNNNNNNNNNNNNNNNNNNNNNNNNNNNNNNNNNNNNNNNNNNNNNNNNNNNNNNNNNNNNNNNNNNNNNNNNNNNNNNNNNNNNNNNNNNNNNNNNNNNNNNNNNNNNNNNNNNNNNNNNNNNNNNNNNNNNNNNNNNNNNNNNNNNNNNNNNNNNNNNNNNNNNNNNNNNNNNNNNNNNNNNNNNNNNNNNNNNNNNNNNNNNNNNNNNNNNNNNNNNNNNNNNNNNNNNNNNNNNNNNNNNNNNNNNNNNNNNNNNNNNNNNNNNNNNNNNNNNNNNNNNNNNNNNNNNNNNNNNNNNNNNNNNAAGAGAGAUGUUAUUGUGACAAAUAAUAUAUCCUGAGAAUGAGCAUACUUUGUUUUAGUCUAGAUUUGGUAAGAACAAACUAUGAAAAAUAUUAACAAUUUCUCUUUUUUUAGUCUAAGAUUUUGGUAAGAAUACAACUAUGAAAAUUAUAUCGAAGCAAUGCCAAAAUACUAUUGAUACUAAUGUAAUCAAUGACGUUCUUUAAGAGGAAUGCCAAACAUGAAAUCUUUAUUCGAAGUAUUUUCUUUUUCCCUGCAAUUGUUUUCCAUAGUAAAGAAAAAAUGUAAGAUUCUCAAAUUAGAAUUUUUUUUAGAGAAAAAGAUAGUAAAAUUAAUAAUAAGUAGUGUAAUAUAGUUUUUUUUACCUUAUAAAGAUUCAAUCAAUUCUUCGUACAUCCCUUUAUCAAUGCGCUAUUGAGAUUUAAAAAACUAAAAAAUACAUGACGGAAUGUCAUAUCAUCAAAGAAAUACAUUCAAAACAUUUGACUCGCUUGAAUAUUAUAUGGGUUAUUGUGACAAAAAAAUGUAAACCUGGAGAAUGAAGAUACUUUGCUUUAGUCUAGAUUUGGUAGAACAACAACUAUGAAAAUAUUAACUGUUUCUCUUUUUUUAGUCUAGAUUUGGUAGAAUAACAACUAUGAAAAUUAUAUCGAAGCAUGCAAAAUACUAUUGAUACUAUGUAAUCAAUGACGUUCUUUAAGAGGAAUGUCGAACAUGAAAUCUUUAUUCGAAGUAUUUUCUUUUUCCCUGCAAUUGUUUUCCAUAGUAAAGAAAAAAUGUAAGAUUCUCAAAUUAGAAUUUUUUUUAGAGAAAAAGAUAGUAAGAUUAUGAGUAAGUAGUGUAAUAUAGUUUUUUUUACCUUAUAAAGAUUUGAAUCAAUUCUUCGUACAUCCCUUUAUCAAUGCGCUAUUGAGAUUUAAAAAUCUACAAAUACAUGACGGAAUAUCAUAUCAUCAAAGAAAUACAUUCAAAACAUUUGACUCGCUUGAAUAUAAUAUGGGUUAUUGUGACAAAAAAAUGUAUACCUGGAGAAUGAAGAUACUUUGUUUUAGUCUAGAUUUGUCCGCUUUUUUUACUGCGCUAACGCGUGAAAAUAUUAACAGUUUCUCUUUUUAUAAGUUUGAUUUUAUAUAAACUAUUUAUAUGAUGAAACAUAUGGUAUUUAUUCAGACACAUAUUAAAUUUUGUUUGCAAUGUAAUAUUCUUUGUAUUAAAUUUUGUUUGAAUUGAGAAAACCGCAUUGUGACGUGACGUUAUUCAACCAUUUUUUUUAAACAAAUCAUAAUGUAAGUGGAAUAAAUUGGUGAUUUGGAAUACCGUAUUAUGAAAAAAGAAAAUAGGUGACACCAAAAUUAAGUUUUGUCUUUAUACAUUGUUAUAGAUUGUUCAAAACCAUAAGAAGAUUUAGAUAAAAUAAGAAAAAAAAUGUUUCUCACAGUUUAUUGAGCAAAUAAACAUAAACUUUAAAAGAGAGAUAAUAAGUGACAUUGUUGCUUAAUAGGAAGGUCAACCAUAUAAUCAAAAUCAGAACUCUCUCUCUCUCUCUCUCUCUCUCUCUCUCUAUCUGUGUGAAAACUGAAACAAAUUAUCAUCAUUGAAAAGAAUGAAACAUAACUGAUAAUAUUUUUUUUUACUAACUUCAAAAUUAUAAAUUAUCUAAUCGUAACAAUAAUAAAUGUCUUUACACUAAUCUUUUUUCAUUUAAAUGAAUAAUUUGUAGUAUUUAGUAUUUGUCUUUAUUUCAAACAAUUAUAUUUUAAAUACUUUUGAGCAUUUGUAUUUGAAAAUAUUUAAAUAGAAAUUUUAUACAUUUAGAUUUUUUUAAUUAUUAUAUCAAAUUAUUAUGCAAAUUAGUUACUAUAUCAAAUUUAUUGCAAAAUUAAAGCCAUAUAUAUAUAAUAUAGAUAAUUUUAUAGAGAUUAUAUAUAUAUAUUAAUUAUUAUAUAUUAUAUACGUAAUAUUAUAUAUAAGAUAUCAUUAUAUAUUCUAUACAUAUAGUAAUUAUAUGUAUAAUAGGUAGAAGAGAAAGGGGAUAAGGUAAGGAGAGAAGACGUGGAGAGAGAGAGAGAGAGAAGGGAGAGAGAGAGAGAGGAGCGAGAGGAGGACGAGAGGAGGAGAUGGGAGAGGAAGAGAGUAGAGAGAGUAGAGACGCGAGAGAGAGAGAGAAGAGAGAGAGAGAGAGAGAGAGAGAGGAGAGAGAGAGAGAAGAGNNNNNNNNNNNNNNNNNNNNNNNNNNNNNNNNNNNNNNNNNNNNNNNNNNNNNNNNNNNNNNNNNNNNNNNNNNNNNNNNNNNNNNNNNNNNNNNNNNNNNNNNNNNNNNNNNNNNNNNNNNNNNNNNNNNNNNNNNNNNNNNNNNNNNNNNNNNNNNNNNNNNNNNNNNNNNNNNNNNNNNNNNNNNNNNNNNNNNNNNNNNNNNNNNNNNNNNNNNNNNNNNNNNNNNNNNNNNNNNNNNNNNNNNNNNNNNNNNNNNNNNNNNNNNNNNNNNNNNNNNNNNNNNNNNNNNNNNNNNNNNNNNNNNNNNNNNNNNNNNNNNNNNNNNNNNNNNNNNNNNNNNNNNNNNNNNNNNNNNNNNNNNNNNNNNNNNNNNNNNNNNNNNNNNNNNNNNNNNNNNNNNNNNNNNNNNNNNNNNNNNNNNNNNNNNNNNNNNNNNNNNNNNNNNNNNNNNNNNNNNNNNNNNNNNNNNNNNNNNNNNNNNNNNNNNNNNNNNNNNNNNNNNNNNNNNNNNNNNNNNNNNNNNNNNNNNNNNNNNNNNNNNNNNNNNNNNNNNNNNNNNNNNNNNNNNNNNNNNNNNNNNNNNNNNNNNNNNNNNNNNNNNNNNNNUCUCUCUCUCUCUCUCUCUCUCUCUCUCUCUCUCUCUCUCUCUCUCUCUCUCUCUCUCUCUCUCUCUACCUACUUAAUUUUGCAUAAAUUUGUAUAUAUUAACUUAAUUUUGCAUAAAAUUUGUAUAUAUUAAUUAAAAAAAUCUAAAUUUAUAAAAUUUCUAUUUAAUAUUUUCAAAUACAAAUGCUCAAAAUAUUUAAAAUUAAUUGAUUUGAAAUAAAGACAAAUACUCAAAAUAUCUAAAAUUGAUUCAUUUGAAAUGAAGAGAAGAAUUUAGUGUGAGACAUUUAUUAUUGUUAACGAUUAUGAUAAUUUAUAAUUUUGAAGUUAAGUAAAAAAAAUAUUUAUCAGUUAUCUUUUCAUCUUUUAUUCAAUUUUAUGAUUUUAAUUUGUUUUCAGUUUUCACACAGAUAAAUAACUUAUCAGUUAUGUAAAUGUCAAUGGUGGUAGUUAAUUUUAUUCUUUCAUUAAUCGUGGAUACAAUUUAGUGGGUAAAAAGAUAAUUGUUUAAGGGUUAUUUAGGAAUUAAAUUAGGCCACGCCAAAAGAGUAUAUCCCCUUUUAUCUAUAGGUAUAGAAGAUAGUGAAUAUUAAAAUGCAAGAUGAAGUCUCAACUUUAAAAUUCUUUAAGGCAAAGGCAAGUAAAUUACGUCAUAAAAAUGGAUUUGGUAACAGAAAAGAAAUAAAUAGUUAAAAUAUAAAUAUGGAAGUAAGUAAUUAGAAAGAAUCUAUAUCGUGUUACUUACAUUUGCAAUACUCUUCAGUUGUCGAUCUGCUCAGGAAUCAUUCUCCUAGUUUCUCUAAGACAACACAUCAAGAAUUAUGUUCAUCCAGUGUUCCCUUAUCCCAAGUCUCUUUUGUUUCUCUGUUUUAGAUAUUGAAGUAAUAGGGAAAGAAAAAUGUUACAUAAAGAUUAUCUUUCACACAUGAUAAAUUUAUUGGAAGGUAAAAAGGGAAAAACUAACCAAAAUAGAGAAAUCGGCUAAGCAGAUGUUAUUUCUUUAGAGGAAAUGGCAAUGAAAUUUUACAGUUAAAUAGAAAAGUAGGAAUAAGAAGGAAGUUAUAUAAUGGUAAUGUUGAAAGAAUAAAAAGGUCCGAGCAAAAGGCUAAUUUUAAAUGUAGGUAUAACAUUUCAUAGGUGCUUUAAAAACGGGCCUUCUAAAGAACCAAAAGGCUAAUUAUCCAUAAGUACUAUUUAUUAGGUGGAGCGCAGUAAAAUUUAUUAGGUGUCUGAUCUUAAAAUACUAUUGUUAUCAACUAGGAUGGUAUAAGAUCUUGUAGUACUUCUAAUAAAUUACCUAACAUUUUGAUCUUGUAGUUAUUUUAUGUAUAAUUUAUGUAUGUUAAUUACCUAAAAUAAGAAGUUUAAAUAGUAUUUUUAUUUUGACAAGUAGUAAAAGAUCUUGAUACUAAGUAAAGAUCUUAUACCUAGUAUUUUAAAUAGUAUUUUACCAAGUAGGAUGGUAUAAAACUUCUUAUAUAUAACUUUUAAUAGUAUUUUAUUUCAAGAGUAGUACUUUUGAAUAUUACUUUAUGCAUAAUUAAAAACAAAGGUAUAACUUAGUAUUUGAACAAAAGGCUAAUUUGAAAACAAUAUAUCGACAACAAAGAAUGACUACUUCUUGAAAUGUUCUCAUCAACUUAUUUUUAUAUAACACUACGUGUCCGUUUGUCCAUUUUUUUUAGUGUGCACACGGAUCAAAAUAUAAAUGAGUAUUUUUUAUUUUAAUUUACUUUAUAAAAGAUUUUAAUAAGUGUUUCAUCAAAGUCUUUGUCUCAUUUUCAUGUUAUUGUUAUUGAUCUUAGAUGUGUUCAUGAUCUAAUUACAUGUGCAUUUUUUUAAUCGACCUCGGGAAAGUAGAGUGUAAUAUUUCAUUGAUUAUAUGAUCUAAUAUUUUAUUUUAAUACAUGUUAUAAUAUCUAGAAACAUAUCAUCAUGUAAACGUUAAUUUAAAUCAAAGAUAAAUAUUUAAGAAAAUAUUAACAACAAAUAUAAUAAAUAAUAAAACAUUUAACACAAACUAAAACUAAAAUGCCGCUCUUCAUCAGUUUUUUUAAGGUUUAUUCUAUUUUAAAUAAUAAUGUUUUUUAAGGUUUAUUCUAUUUCAAAUAAUAACAACCUUUUGACAGCAAUUAUUUUAAAAGUUUUGAGUAGCCUAUGUCAUUUUUUAGGACAUUUCUUUUUCAAUAGGUUUUAAUCUAACAUUCUUUUGAAAAAUUAAACAAUAAAACAUAAGAGAGUUGAAAUUAGAAAAAAAAAUUAAAAAAUAUAAAUUAUAAGUAGAAUAAUUUACACAAUAUUCUUCUUUAAAGAUAUUAAUUUAAUGUAGAUCUUCUUUACCUUUCUUAUUUUAUGAUAGCAAUUUUUACUAAUCUUGUAUAACAUGAAUAUUUUCUUAAAAUAAAAUAUAUAUUUUUAAACUAUUACAGUAUUCCGGGUAUUUUUCUUGAAAAAUCUAAAAAACAAAUAUAAUAAAUGACGUUAGCACGUUUUUCUUUGGCUGACCAAUAAUGAUGGUGAUUUAAAUAUAUACACCAUUUAGAUAUAAACAAUAAUUGUCAUGGUGAUUUUUAAUAUACGAACAAAAUUAAUUGUCACCAUUUUUGUUCAUUAAAAUAUAAAUUAUCAACAUCAUUUCCGUACAAAUUUAGAAACUAUCCUAAAAUAGACACAAAAAUAUAUAAACCUAUUAGAUUUUAUUAGAUUUAAUUCAUAUUUAAAUUGUAUUAUUUUCUUAGCCCCUAAGUUUGUUAGAGGGUAUUUUAGUAUUUUAUCCUAUUGUAGUAACCCUAGUUUUAGCUUAUAAAUAGGGUGGAUCAUUGUAACUUUUAUCAUGUUUUGUAAGCCGCAUUCUUUAAGAUAUUCAUUUUCAUUCUACCUUUGCAACCAACAAUGUAUCUUCAGAGCUCCGGUUCGGAUUUAUGGAAACACUUGGGAACAGAUGUUGACGUGAGGCUCUGUGUGUUUUUUUGAUAUCUUUAGAUUCGUGCUUAAUUCUGAGACAAUCUAGGAUCAGAAUUUUAAUUCUUGGGUGGGAAAUCACUGUGUUGAGACAAUCUGAGUGUACUGUGCAGUAGAAGGAUGAACGGAACGCCAUGAACAGCCAACUUCAGCUUAUUUGACGGUAAUAAACUGGAUCGUUGGAUGUCCAAAUGCGUUGUAUUGUUCGGUGUCGUCAAGAUGUCCUAGAUCUUGUUUCACUGAUAAUGGUUAUGUUCCGUAGAAGCAGAUGAUGACGGCAUGAACAGAAAAACGCGCAGUAAGGAUAAGGAAGAAAGGAUCUAGAAGCAUUUUUUUCAUUCAUUCAAUGUGUUGCUGAGUAAAUGUGUUUGAGAUAUUGCAGAUUCAACGCACAGCAAGCGAUUCGGCUGGGAAACUGGUUAGAUGUUAUGGUGGUGACGCUCAGUGAGAAGGUGAAGCUUCAGUCCUUGAGGCAAUAUGAGAAUAUCAACAGAGAUAUGAGAAGUUUCUGAAUACAAUCUCCAGAGGUGAUAUCUGAUCACUAUGAUGAGAAAAGGGUGGAGAAACUCUUUCUUGAAAACAAUCAUGGAGAAGGUAAUUGAGAUCCCUACCUCUCAUUGAUUACAUUGUGGUGAGCAAUGGAUAUUCAUCAAAGGAUAUCUUUUGAGCCCAUAGAGAAUGAAUAGCUGCAGGCAGCUUAGAGGCCAAGAGUUGCGUUUGAUUAGAGAACUUCUUGGAAAGGAAGUAUGGCGCAGGCUCGAAGCAACUGUCUUGAGGAGGCGUAUCAGGAAGCAGUCAGAAGGCCAGGAGAAGAUUCUGUGGGUCAGAGUCAGAAAGCUCAACCUCGAUAGACAAAGAAUGCUCAGAGGGAAAGAGAAGUUUUGACAAGAAGAAAAUCAUGUUAUGCUGUAAGAGUUGGUUCAGUUUUGCUAGAGAUGUUGGUCCAAAGAAUAGAGACGAAAUCCAGAUGACCUCUAAACAGAUGAGAGUUCUGUGCACGAUCGGUGCUAUUGAGGCCCUGAAAAUCUGAUAUAUGGAUCUAAUAGACUCUGGUGGUAUAUGGACACUGCUGCUCAAUUCAAUCUUACUGAAAACAGAAGGAUGCUUUGUCUGAAGAAGACAUGGAUGCUAAGACAAAGAUGAGGCUGGACAAUAUUCUUAAUGCAGAAGUAUGGGAAAAUGUCAGAGUGACUACUGAACACAUGGGAGAAACAGCAUUGAUCAGAGUGUAGGUAUUACUCUGCAUCAGAAGCUAAUCUGAUAGUGUGGACCGUUAAUUGAGAAGGUUUUUCAGUUACCAUGAAGGACAAUUCUUCUGAAGCUGUAUGACUUCAAUCGAAGGUUGAUUAUUGGGGUCAGACACGGAGGAAUAAUAACAUAUCAAGGCGAAUUUGAACUGGAUCAGAAGGUUCUUUGGACAGUGCGAGGAUGAGCAUUGUUGCAAGCAAGAUGGUUCUCUUGAAAUUCAGAGCUUAAAAAUCUGAUUCAAAGAAGUUGGUACAUGGAAUUCCUGAAUUAGAAGCCUGAAAAGUCAUGCAAAGUUUGCAGGAGGAAACAACAUUCGACUCAAUUGCCAUUUGCGUAGAACUUGCUCCAAGAGCAAACAUGCCUUGGAGUUGUACAUUCUGAUGUGUGUGUUCCAUUUCAGUAGCCAUCGAUUGAGGGAAUAAAUAUUUUGUUUAUUUUUGAUGGAUUCACAAGAAUGACUAUGGGUAUCCAUUAUAAGUUUUAAACACGAGGGUGUUUGAUGAAUUCAAGAGUUCAGAUGGAAGGCUGGAGAAUCUGAGUGGUCAGAAGUUGAAGAUUUCUAUUAAACUUGACGGUUGGCGGUGUAGUAUAACUCCAAAAGAGUCUCCAAAAGUAUCUGUGAGGAGAAUGGAAUUGAGCAUCGAGGUUACUGCUCCUAUAUACCCUCAACACACAAUGGUCUGCUGAAAGAAGAAAUGCACUUUGCUUAUAUGGUGAGAACAUGCUAAGAGAAGAAGCUCUCAACUCUGCGGGAGACAGCUUGUUGCCACUGGCAACGUAGUACUCAACCGAUGUUCCUUCGAAGAAGUGAGGAAAUGUAUCCAAUACAGAAGUGUGCUGGACGAUAAGCAAGUGGUUCAUCUAAGGGUGUUUGUUCUGUUUGCUAUAAACAUGUUCCAGAGCAGAAACAGAGGCGGAUGGAUAGAAGCAAAGUGAUGAUUCUAGAUAGGCGUACCACAGUACAGGUGCAUACAGCUCUAUUGUCAGAAGAAUCCAAUAAAUAUGAUAUUCAAGCAGAGAUGUAUGUGAAGGAAUCGAGUUUGCGACAUUGGGUAGAGUUCAUCUGGAUCUUGAUAGUUAAACUGCUGAAGAAAGCGAUCAGAGUUCAGAAUUUCUGAGGUUGGAGUAAACUCUGACGCUUGAUUCUGACUUGGAUUAGUGAUCCAGAAUCUGAUGUUCCAACUCUGAUUGUUCCAGACCUCUGAUGUUUUCAGAUCUUAUGAUCCAGACUCUGAACUCAGACUCGUUGGUAUCCAAUUCGUGGCAAUCAGAUUUGGAAAUAUGCAGAACCAUUAGAUGGUCAAAGCUCUGGAGGAAGUAACCAUUGAAGGAUAGAAACUCUGAAGUUGAAGACUCUGACAAAGUUCAGAGACCACAAAGGUCAGCAACAGAUCCCCAGAAGAUAUGCCAAAUUGACAUGCGCAAGGACCUGAAGUAGACUCUGAAGGAGAAGUUAUUCGUUGUGCUGCUUGGUAGAUCUCUCUGAACCUAAGUAUACAGAGAGGGCUCUUAAGCAAAGCUUCUGGCUUGAAGCAGGAAAGAGAGACACUGAUUGCUAUUAGAGAGGAACAAGACUUGGAAGUGACAGAAACUUCCAAAGACAAGAAGUCAUCAGCGUCAGAUGGGUUUUCAGCAGAAGUUAAAGCCAGAUGGGUAUCAUAUGGCCAAACAUAAAGCAAGGUUGGUAGCAGAAUUUCUACAGACCUGGGCUGGAUUUACUUCUUGAUGUUUGCACCUUGUAGCAAACAUGGAACAAUCAGAAUGGUGAUGUGCAAGCCUGCAACAGUAAUUGCCUCUGGAAUUUAGAUGUAAAAUCUGCAUUUACUGACGGUUCAUUAGGAAGAAGAAGUUACGUGUCACAACCUCCUGAUUGUGUUGAACAAAAACAAGGGAUGGUUGUACAGAUAUAUACAAAGCCUAAUAUGGUUGAAAAGCGCCAGAGCUUGUGAAAGAAGAUUGAUUUCUUUUUUCAAGAAGCAAGCUUUCAGAAUGUGAGGGAGUAUGGUGGCUAUGUUCGCAUAUUACUGCUAAGGAAAUUGACUCUGGUAUGUUUAUAUGCUUGAUGAGAUACUAACUGCUGAACUGGAUGUUCUGAACAGGAGAUAGGCUAAGUUCACAAAGUUCUGAUGAAUGAUUCGAAUGACUGAAUGUUAGGCAAAAUGACAUUACUUUCUAUGCAUGGUGAAGUCCAGAUAGCUCUGAGAUAGUGUAUUAUUUGCAUCAGCUCAAGUAUGAUAUUAGAAAUUCUGAGAGAUUUGAAUUAGGAAGUUGGUAGAUUGUGUCACACCUUCUAUACAGAAACAAGAGGCUGAUUCGACUCUUCAGGAAAUGUCAGGGAAUGUGGACGCUACAACUCCUUCAAACAGUUAGUGGUUCUCUGAGGUAUUUGUGCAACAAUACCAGACAUAUUUGCUAUUCAGUUGGGAUGUUAGUAGGUCUCUGAGUAACUAAGUGGUCCCAUUACCAAGCUGCAGUCAGUAAUUCUGGAGUAUUAUCAAGGGAACUCUCAAGUAUGGAGUUUAUGUCCUUGGAAGAAAGGAUGGGUCAGGAAUUCUGAGUUAAUUCAGAUUCUUGAUAUUGGUUGUGACGACAGAGUACAGAAAAGAUCGUCGUGCGGUACUUAUUCAAAUUCGGGAGGUCCAAUUCUUGGUGUUCAGAAGCACCUGUUGUGGCGUUGUCAACUGUGAAGCUGAUAUAUAUGCAGGUGCUUGUACUGCAUGCAAGCUGUGUAUUCUGAAUCUAUUGGCAGGAUCUUGAAAUUUAAAGUAAACAAACCUCUGAAAGCUGUGAUUUGAACGACAACCAAGUCUGCAAUUCAAUCUUCAAGAAACCAGGCUGCAUUGAGAGAGCAGACAUGAACCAAGUAUAUUCUCUGAGAAAUCAAGUUCGAGGGAGUGUAUGUAGGGAGUUCGAUACACCGCACGACAUAGAAAGCAUGUCGCAUGAUUUCUGACGGCAAGUAUCAGAUGGACCAAUUCUCAUAUCUAAGAAUGGAUGGUGUUACAAGUUUGAUGCAGAAUAUGAAUUAAGGGAUGGUAUUAGAUUUUAUUAGAUUUAAUUCAUAUUUAAAUUGUAUUAUUUUCUUAGCCCCUAAGUUUGUUAGAGGGUAUUUUAGUAUUUUAUCCUAUUGUAGUAACCCUAAUUUUAGCUUAUAAAUAGGGUGUCAAUCAUUGUAACUUUUAAUCAUGUUUUGUAGCCGUCAUUCUCUUAAUAGAAUAUUCAUCUUUCAUUCUACCUUUGCACCAACAAAACCAUCAUAGAAUACACGUUCAAAAAAUAUAUAAACCAUCAUAAAAUAGAAAUAAACCCGCAUGAUCGAAAAUCACCACAUGAUCAAAAAUCAUCAUCAUUAUCCGAUCAAUAAUUAUUAAGUAUUUUUCUGCAAUUCAUGCACACAAAAAAGAUUUAUACUAUAAUGGUUGUAAUUAAAUAAAACAAAUUUAAUUUAAUUUAAUGAUUGUAAUUAAAUUAAUUAAAUGAUUUAUAUAAUGAUUUUUUAACAUGUUGAUAAAUCAGACUCUAAUGGUUGUAAUUAAAUAAAAUAUAUGAAAUUAAUAAAAUAAAAUAAAAACUCAAACCACUUUUCAUUGCCUUGCUGUUCCUUCUUCUUCCGGCCACAUGAUUGCCACCAUUGAUUGCAUUCUUAACCGCUACCAGGCCAAUUAAUUGGCGCCGUCACUACUCGUCGUACCAUUGUUAGGUCGUUAUGCUAUUUUGUUUACAAUUGUAUUGUAGUGUUGUCUACAUAUAUCGUGGUCUUGUUGGAUUACCAUUCUCAAUCACAAAUCAAUACAUUGAAAAAGAAGAGAUUGGAAUUGUGGAUUGUUGUAAUUUAUUAAAUACAAGUGUGUUCCAAAAUGACAAAUGGUGGAAGUGAGUUAAUGCUAAUAAAUGCCUGAGAUAACUCUUCAUGAAUUUUGAAUUUUGAAUUCGGAGAUUGUAACUCUUCAUGAGAUGUUGCAAAGGCGAAACCAUGCAACUGUUGGUGAAACAUGCUGCAGGCCAACCAUAAUGAUUAUUGGAAAAGGACAUUGCUUCACCAAGGGUCACUACCUUGUGAAACAAUAUCAACAUGGCCUAUAAAAGCAUAAAUCCGGAUUCAGAAUACAACACACAAAAUCCGAAAAUCCUCUAAAUAAUUCCAGACGCUCUUCGUUGCAUUCGGGUUUUCGCCGGUCUUGCGCAAACUCGAUAAGGCUGAAUUAUCCUAGGUAUUCCUGCAUCAUAACUCUAAGACAAUCGAGAGUGCUUGAAAUACUAUAAGGAAAGUGUUGCGUUCACGAUUCAAGCUUGGAUCCCUUUAAUCUUUCCGAAAUUUCUAACAGUCUUAUAGUAUUUUCAAAUAAUGGUUAUCAAGGCUUCAGUUUCAAGCAUCAAAAAGAAAAACUUAAGAAAGAACACAAGAAGAAUCGGUAUUACGAAAUCUGGUAUGAUUUUAUUAUUCUUCAUAUUAAUUAGAGCACCGUGAAAAUCAUGAUAUCAAGAUCUAAAUAUAAAAUUUUUCUAUCAAUUAGGAUCAGAGUCAGAUUAUUGAUAUUGUGAUUUUUUUAUAAUAACAAAUUGAUAUGAUUUUGAAUUAGAUUUCUUUAAUAACUAUAGUAUUACUUAAUUUAAUGGUUUUCAUGAUUUUUAAUAGAAAAGCAAUAUCUGUAUCAUGAUCUUCCAUUUGUUGGACAAAUUAUUACAUAUUGAUGGUUGAAUGAUAUGCAUUUGACAAUACAUGAAUAAAUCAUGAUUACGCAAUUAUAUUAUACUUGAUUAUGUAACCUAUUUUCCAUAUGAAUAGAAAUUGAAGGGUCUUGGACAUAAUAGGAAGAAAUAUGUACAUUUCCACAUCGGUAUUGUACAUAAUAGAAAAGUUUUCAUUCCAGUAUGGGAUAUNNNNNNNNNNNNNNNNNNNNNNNNNNNNNNNNNNNNNNNNNNNNNNNNNNNNNNNNNNNNNNNNNNNNNNNNNNNNNNNNNNNNNNNNNNNNNNNNNNNNNNNNNNNNNNNNNNNNNNNNNNNNNNNNNNNNNNNNNNNNNNNNNNNNNNNNNNNNNNNNNNNNNNNNNNNNNNNNNNNNNNNNNNNNNNNNNNNNNNNNNNNNNNNNNNNNNNNNNNNNNNNNNNNNNNNNNNNNNNNNNNNNNNNNNNNNNNNNNNNNNNNNNNNNNNNNNNNNNNNNNNNNNNNNNNNNNNNNNNNNNNNNNNNNNNNNNNNNNNNNNNNNNNNNNNNNNNNNNNNNNNNNNNNNNNNNNNNNNNNNNNNNNNNNNNNNNNNNNNNNNNNNNNNNNNNNNNNNNNNNNNNNNNNNNNNNNNNNNNNNNNNNNNNNNNNNNNNNNNNNNNNNNNNNNNNNNNNNNNNNNNNNNNNNAAUUGAUAUGAUUUUGAAUUAGAUUUCUUUAAUAACUAUAGUAUUACUUAAUUUAAUGGUUUUCAUGAUUUUUAAUAGAAAAGCAAUAUCUGUAUCAUGAUCUUCCAUUUGUUGGACAAAUUAUUACAUAUUGAUGGUUGAAUGAUAUGCAUCUGACAAUACAUGAAUAAAUCAUGAUUACGCAAUUAUAUUAUACUUGAUUAUGUAACCUAUUUUCCAUAUGAAUAGAAAUUGAAGGGUCUUGGACAUAAUAGGAAGAAAUAUGUACAUUUCCACAUCGGUAUUGUACAUAAUAGAAAAGUUUUCAUUCCAGUAUGGGAUAUGGAAGUUCAGCGGUGCUUUUGGUUGUUGCUGUAACCGGAGGAAAUGAAAAAAAUGAAAAUCGUGAAUGUUCGUAGGAUCAUUGUUGGUGGUGGUCCAAUUUGUGAUAAACUAAAUCCUAGAACAAUAAAAUAGAGGAAGAACAAAGAACAUAGUUCAAGAACGGGUGAAUUUGGUAACGACCUUGGGACCCUCAGAGACAACGUGUAUAAUCAAUUCACUGGUAAGAAAUAUAAUUGUAGCAAUAAUAAUUAGACUAAUAUCACCUAAAAAAUAGACAAUUGAAUAGAAAAGAUAUUUACACUUUAUAUAUGUUCACCACCAUGUUAGAAUGUCUCACAAUUCUUGUAUGUAGAAUUUCUUCAAUGUUACUCACUCUCAAUUUUUGUGGGCAAUAAUUUAUUUGGGAAUGAGUGAAAAUUUAUUGGUUUUGUGUUAUAAAUGAUGGAAGUUAUUAACUUUUGAAUCCAUCUUCUCAGUAACGGAUGGAAGUUACUAACAAAACUAUCUCUUUAUACAUAAUUAUAGUUUUUUUUUAUUUAUAAAAAAAAUGAAGAUAAAGGGUAUUUUAGGAAGUAAAAUAGGUCACUCCACAAGGAUGUAUCCCCUUUAUAUAUACUAGCGUCCAAACGGGCACUCCGUGCCCGUUUGUCCGCUUUUUUUACUGCGCUAAUGCGUGAAAAUAUUAAUAGCGUCUUUUUUUUAUAUAUUUGAUUUUAAUAUAAACUAUUUAUAUGAUGAAUUAUAUUGGUAUUUAUUCAGAUUUAUAGAUUUAUUCCCUUUCCUUUAUAUAGGUUUUUUUGUAACCAAAUUAAGUCACUCCAAAAUGUAUUUUGUAAAUGUAUGUUAUUAUUGGAUACUAACAUACAUGUAUUCCAAUGAUAUUUGUUCAAUAAAUGUAUGUUACCUAUAUGUGCAGUUGGUAAGUGUAUGUCUCUGCAGUUGGUAAUAAAUAUACUUCCGUGUCCGUUUUGGUAAUAUAUAAAAGUAUGUCUUGAUUAAUAAAAGUAUGUCCUAAUAAACAUACAUUGGAUUUAUAUGCUCAUUAGACAUACAUUGGAUUUUAGUAACAUAUAUUUAUAUAAAUCUAUAUAUGCAGUUGAACAAAUAUUUAUUACCAACUGCAUAGACAUACUUUUAUUAAUCAAGACAUACUUUUAUUACCUAUAUGUGCAGUUACCUAUAUGUUAUAAAUUAUUACCAACUGCAUAGACAUACUUUUAUUAAUCAAGACAUACUUUUAUUACCUAUAUGUGCAGUUACCUAUAUGUUAUAAACGCUAAAAGCUCCAAAAUAACAUAGGUUUAUAAUAACAUACAUGCAUUCCCUUAAUUUGGUUAACAAUAAAUCACAUGAUCCAAAAUAAAUGUAUUUCCUUUUUUUUAAUCGGUAUUUUAUUUACUUGCAAUGGCCUAAUUUUGUCCGUUUUUUUCAAUGCGCACAGCAGAGAAAAAUAAAUGUUUAUUUUUCUUUUUAUAAGGUUUGUAUUGUACGUCAUAUUAAAAAUAAUAUUAUUACACUUUGAAAAUGAUAAACAAAGAUAUUCAGAAUUAUAUUGAAUCAUGCAAAAUACUAUUGGUAUUGUGUAAUCAAUGACCUUCUUUAAAAG